rnacentral:lncRNA from 1 species
UAGAAGAAAAUGAAAUGAACUGUUGUAGGUUGUCUAUAUAUAUAUAUAUAUAGGCUAAGGCUACUAUACUCUUAUGAGGAUAGAGCCCUUCAUACUCAUAAGUUAUUUUCAAUGAUGAGUAUUCCGAAUCGACGAUCCACUCCGUUAAAUAUGAUUUCGAAAUAUAUAUAUAUAUCUAUAUAUAUAUAUAUAUAUAUAUAUAUAGAGAGAGAGAGAGAGAGAGAGAGAGAGAGAGGAGCUGGAAUGCUAUCGAUAGCAAACGGGCUCCGUUGCCACCCAUUUGUUUUCAAUGAUGGAACCUCCAAAUCGACGAUCGGCACCAUUGAAUAUGAUCUAUACCACUUGAAAUGUUUAGAAAUCAAAUUUCAUAUAUUUUCGAUAUUGUUCUCUUAUCCAUCGAGUGGAAACAAAAAUGAACNCAAAAAUUCAAUUGAUUUGGAUAUCUUUACGCCGUUAAACGAGAAAACGCCUCAUAUCGACCAUUAAAAUUACAAAUUUUGAAACCCUUUGAUCAUUAGGCAAAUGAUGUCAAAAAGAUUUGAAAUUUGAUUUCUAAACACUUCAAGUGGUAUAGAUCAUGUUCAACGGUGCCGAUCGUUGAUUUGAAGGCUCUAUCAUCGAAAACAAAUGGGUGGCAACGGAGCCCGUUUGCUAUCGAUAGUAUUCUAGCUCAACUAUAUAUAUAUAUAUAUAUAUAUAUAUAUAUAUGAUGAUCUUCUGUAGAUUCUUUCUCAUUUUGUUCCUUCUGUCCUUCCAAAACAGCAAUUAAUUUUUAUGACCCAGAAGCACACACAAUAAUGGUCAGCAGAGAUCGGCGAGUAGCAUAAUCAAUCUAACAAGUGAUCUUUUUACGUAGGACCGAUCAUAGUUCCCGAUUCUCUGUUCUUUCUUUCGGUGGGAACUGUUAUCACCAGUUCUCUAUGGGCCUAGGGGAGAACUUUUUUUUUUUUUCUUUUUUAACAGUAAAAGAAAAUCCUUUCAUUUCCAAUAUUCCACAAGAAGAGAAGGAAGAAAACCAGAAUUCUGUUGAAUUUCCAGUAUUCAGUUUCACGAAAUUUUCGUUCUUUGCAUGGAUAUUUUGAAACUAUGAACUAAUGGAUAUUGUGCUCCAAAUAUAAACUCGGUUGCGCCUUCGCAUAUGUUAUGAUAACAUUACAGAUUACUUCUAUCUGAUCCUGAUGGUUCACGGCUAAUUAUUUCUCUGGAAUGUUUUCGCAGGACUAGAUCCCGCGCCUCGAUGCCCUACAUAUUCUUAAUGAGUUAAAGAGAGCUUCAUAUAUUAUAAGCUUGGUAAGUCGCCUACCUAGUUUCUAAUUUUCCUGUCUCUCAAACUUUUGCUCCAAUGGACAAUGUUUGUUAUUAUAAAACACUAUGUAAAAUAUGCUGCUCUCUGUUACUAUGUAAGACCCUUCUGGGGAGCUCAUAUUUUGGAUUAUGUUGUAACUGCUUCCGUUUUUCUUAUGUGUUGAGGUAUGAUGAUGUGUUUUUUUAGCCUUAUCAAGCAUUCUGAGGGUUUAGCUUUGGAUCCAAAUUAUCCUAUUUCACUUUGGUUCCCAACAUUUUAGUUUUCGCAUCUCGGUCCCUAAUGUCUAGUAACUGUCCUGUACCAUCUACUAAUAAGAGUCUGGGAUUCCGUUUCCAAAAAGCAUCCACUUCCAAUUGCUUCUAAUUUUUCUCCUAUAAUGCUAUAAAAUUACAGUAGUAAUCACCGUCAGCGAAGCAUGUAGUUAGCAGUUUUGAAUUCGAAUUUUUCAGUCCUUUCAGAGUAUAUGAGCAGAUGCUUUCUGCUGUUGUUUAGAUCUCUUCUUUUUUUCUUUUUUUUUUGAGAAAAAUGUAACAUGCUAUUAGCGUCGAUUAUUGAAAAAAAUAAUCUUUGCAACAAGUUUGAGGCAACUACUGAGGUUUAAAAAAUUGUAUUUAACUACUAUAGGUUUAACAUGUUUUUAUUUUACUAUUUUAUGGUGAAAAUACUUAAAAAUAAAUUAAAAAUAAAAUUACAAGAUAGUUAAUUAUAAUUUUUUCGAAUUUAUGAUAAAAGUAAAAAUGUAAUAAAUUACUAGGACCAAAAUGAAGUUAACUAUUCUUCUUCUUCUUUUUUUGCGUAAUUUAAUCUAUUUGAAAAUAAAGCACACUAGGUUUAGUUGGUCUAUUCAGUUUAUUUGCAUCUUCUUGUUUAUUUGUUUUGAAGCCAAAUCAAAAUCCAAAUAUACACUCAAAGUAUAAAUUUUCCACAAUGAAACUGUGUGUGUGUGUGUGUGUGUGUGUGAGAGAGAGAGAGAGAGAGAGAGAGAGAGAGAGUAUAAUGCAAUUGGUUGGUAUUGGAUUUGGGUUUAAAGUAUGCGUUGUGUUGUAAACUAGGGAUAUUUUCUUAUUUACUGUAAACAGUUAUAAAUUAAUUAAUGAGAAAUAAAAGGGGUAGGCCAAAUAUUGCGGGAUCAUCAUGAGAGGCACCACAUGGAUUGAGUGAGUAUUCCUUUGCACGUUUCGCACAUGUAACAAAAUCAAAUGCUUGAUGCACCCCUCAAAAGUGUGGGCUCCCUAAAAUUGUGUGGGUGGUUGGUUAAUAAGUAUAAUCUAGCAUAUAAAAAUAAUCAAAAAGAUUAGUCCAAUGGUAGAAAACUCGAUAGCAUCAAGUGUUUGGUGCUAUCGAUACCAUAGCAGCCAGACUCUUAUUAUAUUAUUUUUAUAUUAAUAAUUUUUAUCGAUAUUUAGUCAACUAAAUUAGAUUCUAAAAUUUUAUUAUAAUAAUUCAAAAACGUUGCCUCAGAAAUUAUAAUAAAUUAAAGGCUAAAUUACAGAAAGUUCUUAUGUCAAUACUCGCUUUUUUCAUUUUUCUUCCUUUAUUUAAAUAUCUACACUUUGCCCCAAAAGAAAUAAAAAAUGUUUAUUUCGGUCCCCGCCAUCCGUGUUCCAUUAGAAUUCUGUCUAUAUUUUAUUAUUAUAUAUUUUUAUACCUAAAAUACCUUUGAAAUUCUCAUCUCAUAUACGCCUCCUCUCUCCUCAUUGACAUUUUCGAUCGCACUGCCUCGCCCUUCUCCACCACCCUUGCCCUAGCCUACCCCUCUAUCCGCGCCUACACACACUCCCUCGCUCUCCUCGUCGCCCUUGCCCAUCUCUCGGUCCACGCCUGAACCCUAAACCUUGAACUCAUCCUGAUCUCCUCCCUACCAUUGCCGAAAUGGAGGGGCGAUGAGGGUGCAAGAGGAGCGGGGGAACAGGUAGUCAGAGCCGGAGUCGAGGGAGACGCGAAGGACGGAGGAGGAGAGGCUGUAGAUGAGCAGAAUUGGAAAAGAGACGAAAAGAGUGAUGAACAAUUUGGUUAUUUUGCAUUAGAGUUAACUCUGUAUUCCUGUAAAUAUUUUUUAUUUUAAAAAGACAAAAUAUAGAUUUUUUAUAUGAUAGAGAGAGAGAAACUAAAAAAUCAAACUUUGAUAAAUUUUUUUUUUUGUAAUUUAGCUCAGAAUCAAAAUAUCACACAGUUGAUAGUUUGAGGGCCAAAAGUGUAAUUUACUUAUGAUUAUUCUUUUCUCUCUCUCUUGUUAAGAAAAAAAGAGGAAAGAGAAGAUGCUGUCAGUGUAGCAAUCUGGCUACGUGGGCGGAAGCAGAAAAUGACAGACUGUGACGCCUGAAGUGACGGGGAAGUCCAGGGGGCAGGAACCGAAAACACAUACACUGGCUUCGGCCAAAGGCCCAAAGCUAUUUGUGAGAAUAUAAAAUACAUAUAUUUUAAAUAAAAAUAUAUUUUUGAAAAGUUACUGAGUUUUACACUUACUAUUAGAUACUUCAUAGAUACUUCUAGAUAAUUCUUUACUUCCUAUAUACUUCUCUUAAAAAACCUAUUAGUCGGAUGCAAUAGAAGUACAGAAUAAUUAAAACUAUAUAUAAUUAAUAAAACAAUAGUUAUUAUUGUAUUUAUUUUAUUUGAUUGGAUGUAGUAGAUCGUGUUACAAUUAAAAACAAUCUAUUUAAUUGCAGAUAGUUGAGAAGUGUAUUUUUAAAAUUUUAUUAUUUUAUUAUGUAUAGUAGUCUAUUACUUGCAGCGUAGAAAAAAAAAAUAUAUUUUUUAUUUAAAAAGUAAUUUGAGAGGUAAACUUAUGUUUUAUUUAAAGUUGCUCUCUUUAAUUAUUACAGUUAGAAUUGCGACUAAUUUAGAUGUGGUUUCAAUUUCUAUAGUUUAACCUCCCAAUGUUGAAAUUUAACCAUUAAACCAAACACUAUAUAUAUAUAUAUAUAUAUAUAUAUAUNAGAGAGAGAGAGAGAGAGAGAGAGAGAGAGGGGGGGGCAGCUAUACUAUCAGUAGCACAGAGGCUGUGAUGCAGCUUUCAAAUCAAAGAUCGGAUCUGUUAGACUUAAUCUAUACUAUUAAAAAUACUUAAAAAUUAAAUUGUAUAAUUUUUGGAUAUUAUUUGGCUAGUGAUCGAUUCUGUUUCGUCAGACUUGAUCGUAUAUAGAGUUAUAAUUAUAGUACAGCUGUAACUAUUUAUAACCAAACAGCUCUUUUAACUCUCUCUCUAUUUGUUUUAACAAAUUUUAACCGCACUACAAAUUUUAACAGUACCUACAAAAAUUUGUUAGCUAUAAAUUUAUAGUUACAGCUGCCAUCCAAAAAAAUAAAAAAAAUUGUAGCCACAUGCUUUGACCACCAAAACUAGGCCUAAAGCUUCAUCCCUACCACUUUUCUCUCCUGUACUCUUUUUUCUAUACUGUACAAUCCCUUAAAAAAAGAAAAUGGUGUGAGAGAGAGAGAGAGAGAGAGAGAGAUUUAAGGGAUAAUCAUCCAAAGAAUGUUUAGAGGAGCCAAAAUUUCCCAUACAAGAAGUAGAAAGAGAUAACCAAGGUACAAAUUGAUUUCCUUUUGAUUGUUUACCCUUUUAAUUUUGUGCUUCAUAUAUAUAUAUAUAUAUAUAUAUAUAUAAAACCUAAAUUAUAUGGUUUGGUUAUAAAUACUCUUGUAGACCAAAUAUUAUUUUGUAAAUAUGAAGCUUUAAAACCUUCCAAUCAUGUUGUAGAUUAAAUGACAUUAAUUACUGCAUAACAGUGAUAUGCCAUGUUAACUAGGUAGUGAUGAUAUUUUUUUUGCCUAUGUUUAUGCAUAAUUUAAUUCCUUUUUCUCCUCUAAAUCUUGGUUCAAAAACAUUGGUUUGCUUAAUAUUUAUAUACACUACAAGUCUACAAUUUCUGGUUAAUAUUGCAUUUUCAUCUGCAUAUAUUCCUCAUCUUUUACAUGAUAUGAAUAUGAUGUUCUCCUGGGUUAAUUGCAAGAACUAUAAUUGGAAAAUCUUCUACUGUUGGCAUGCAGGUUCAAAUCUGAGAAUCACUUUUCUCCAAGAUUGAAACAAAAAAGCAGUUAUUAUGAAAUGAAUUUUGGAACAUUGAGCUCUGUACUGAGAUUUAUUGAAGAACUUCUCAUUUGUGCACUCAAAGCUCACACUGGUGGUGUCAUGGAAAGAAGAUUAAGGAGAAGUGCUUCUGCUGCAAGAUUAUACAUGGACUACAACAAGCCCUAUCUACAAGUAAGCAGCAAGCAGCAAAGAGCCUUCCCCACAAGCUAUUUCCGCGUCGAAUCGGUUCCGGUACUUCUCUUCCUCACAGCUUCCCUGCUGCUGCUUCCAUUGGUUCUGCCCCCAUUGCCCCCUCCACCUUUCUUAUUACUGCUGCUUCCUAUGGGAAUGCUUCUUCUGCUCAUGAUCUUGGCAUUUAUGCCCUCCGAUGUUCGCGAAGUCGCUUCUUCCUACUUGUAAUGAGUAUAGUAAAUUUUGGAUUGAGAUAUAUAUAGAGAGAGAGAGUCUGGCUACUAAACUCUUCUGUGUAUAGAUCCUUUUGUAUUCAUAAGUUUUCGGCCGUUAGAUGUACCGUUUUGACCAUUUUCAUCCAUUGGAUGAUGCUAUUCAACUAACCACCCCUCAACUCUAGAGGGCCAUUAUUAUUCUAACCGCACAUUUCUUUAUCCAACGGCCAAAAAUUGAUGAGUACAAAAGAAUCUAUACUCAUAAGAAUAUAGUAGUCCUAGACUAUAUAUAUAUAUAUAUAUAUAUAUAUAUAUAUAUAUAUUGUGAAAUGUUUCUGUUUUGUACAUAGGAAUACUUGUUAUGCUUAUGUUCUUGGCAUUUAUGCCCUCCGAAUGUUCGCGAAGCCGCUUCCUCCUACUUGUAAAGAGAUUAGUAAAUUUUGGAUUGAGGCAUAUAUUGUGUGAAAUGGUCCUGUUUUGCUGUACUAAAUGAAUGGAUAUGCCAAAUUUUCCUAUUAUUAAUCGAGUUUUUUGUGCAAAUUUUGUUCUUGUAUGUAGUGUUGAAAUCUGUGGUUUGUUAUGAUUAUAUAUGUUGUCGACUCUUAUUUAUUUUAGCGAGGAUUGGAGAGUAUAUAUUGAUGAAUUGUCGCAUUUUGUUGGGACUAUUUAUGAUGAGAAUAGGAAGUAUGAAAAAGUUUCAGAUAAAAGCGAGUUCGACGAACUUGGCUGCUUUAUUGAGAUCAUUUCAAUAAAUUGGUGGAUAAUCUCAUAUGAUUUUUAAUGUACCAUUAUGUAGGAGUCUCUCUGGUGUUAAUAAAUACAUACAAGUUAAAAUAUGUGGAUUUUUUUUGAGAGAAAGUUAAAAUAUGUGGAUUAUUGUCGCGUUUCACAUGUUUGUCGAGUAAAUUAGGAACUCAUCGGUCUAAGUUGUUAGCAUUUUACAUUAUUUGUUGAGAAUGUCAUAUUUAUGGCUUCUGAGAGGUGAAACCUAUUUGAACCACUGAAGCAGGAAAUGAUCAAAUUUAACUAUUCAAAGCUUUGUAAGUUACCAAUUAUGCUUUGGCUAAUAUCAUGAUCAAAUAUUUUUAGUGUUUAUGGGUGAUUUCUGAAUCUCGCGCACGCGAACCAACGGUUCAAUUUGUAUUAACAUAUAUGACUAUUUUGGUUGCCAAAAACUUGUAUUGACAUUUUUUUUUUUUGUUGAAAAAAAGGUUGUAAAUAAGUUUUGCUAUUUGUAAUUUGCUAUUAUGAUGAGAUUGGAUUAAGGAAACUUCAAGUACUUGGUUGGUGUUUCCUGCUUUGUAAGUUGGAGAGAUGAAUCCUUCUUGUUGCUUAUUUCAACCUACAAGAUCACAUGAUUAAGUUUUGGAUUGGGGAUUGAAUUUGAUCUUUUUUUAUCAAAAAAGAAAAAAUUGUAGGUCAUAUUGCUGGGAGCUUCAUGAUCAAAUGAGUAUAGGCUUUUUAGUACAAGCUUACUCUCAUCUUGUUUUAGAGUUAAAUUAUGCCAAAGGCCACUGGUGAAUAAACUUAGGGCAAAGUUUCAUUUAGAUCGCGGAACUUAAGGUGUUUAAACUUAGGGCAAAGUUUCGUUUAAAUCAUGGAACUUAAGAUGUUUUGACUAAUGUGUUGUACUGUUGAUUCAGUUGUCACAUCACAUUUUGUAUGGAAAUGAUAUGAAAAUUAAAUUACAACUCUCUGAAGAUAAUGUGAUAGCUAUAUCAGCUAACAUUUCGUUGUCGUAUUACUACAUCUUCUCUUAUAAAAUAUCGUCUGAUCUACUGUUGCAUUAUCUUAAUAUUAAGAAAAGCAAACGGAGUUUAACAAACAUUACCCUGCAGAAGUUGAGUUGAAAUCGAAGUUCAGUGCAGUAACAGUAACAUUUUUUUUUUUUUAAGUUGAGUGAUCCAAAUGAAACUUCUAAAAAAGUUUACUAACAAAUGAAAAUUUUCAAGUCUUUUUUACCAUAAAAUGUUUACCCCUCUACAUCAAAUUUCCAGUGUCAGAGCAACUCCUGUCCUUCAAUCAAUCAGACAGACUAAAUUGUAUUAGUGUCUCAAAUUUUAAAUUAUUAUAAUUUGAGUCUCUUAAUUUAUUUAAUUAGUUAAAUAAUAACGCCGACACUAAUAUGACAGUGAUGUGAUAAUGUUGACACUAGUAUGACAGGGAUGUGAUAAUACUGAGACCAAUAACAUUACAGUUAUUAAAAUAUUAUACUACUGUCACAUCAUAAAGUAUUAGUAUCUGGAAACUAGAUUGGUCCGUAGAAAAUAAUUACAACAACAAAAAAAUUUAAGUAAAAAAUUAUAAUUAAUUAAAAGUUUAGAACCAAGAUAUCACAUGGCUCAAAAUAUGAGGACCAAAAGUGAGACUUGUAUACUCAGAAAGGACAUGGCAAACAAUGUGUCCAAAUGAUCUUCUUUUCAUUAUCUUAUUAUUAUUACUUCUUUUUUAUUCAACAAAAAAAAAAAAGAAAAAAAAGAGGAGUUAUCAAAUUCCAUAUAGAUAGUUAGUGCUUCACCUGAUGUGAUGGGCAUGGACUUCUAUCAUCAUUUCCAGUAAUGUGGAAAGCAAAGGGAAUCAAUCACAGUCCUUUUUUUUCUUUUUCUUUUUCCUUUCUUCCUUUUCCUUGUGCAUGCACCCAGGUUAAAAUGUAUGGAUAGUCCCUAAUCUAUUCCAAUGUUUCAUCUUAGUAGUUAACACUUCUUUUGUUGUUUAAAAUAACUUCUUUUUAUUUUUUUGAGAGAGAAAAAGAUAGAUAGCAUGCUAUCCGCUUCGUUUAUUUCAUUUAGAAAUAAACUUAGCUGAAAAUGUGAAUUAAAUAGGAUUCGAACUUGGGUCUAGGAUACCAACCAUCAAGUCCUUUGACACUUGCUCUAGGAACGGUCGGUUUGUUUAAAAUUACUUUAGUCUUGAACUUUCACACUUAAUAGUGUGCUUAAAUCUUUUAACCAAAAGUGAAAGUGAAAGAUAAUUUUACAGUAAAAAUCAACUACCGUCGAAUUUUCUUUUGCAAUUUAUGAAUAAGUUUAGGUACUAAAUUGUUUCAGUGAAAAAUAUGAGAGCCAUGGAAUUGUAUAUGUAUCAUAAUUAUCCAUCUCCAUUUUUACUCCAAAGUGCCUACUAUUUUGAUACUGCACAAAAGAAUUUUUAUUUUAAUAAAAGCUUAAGCUAUCUGAGACCGGUGUAUCACUAAUUUAUCUUCAUUACUCUCCCCUUUAGAGAAAUCGAUUGUUCACAAAAAAUUAAAGGAUUUGGUAACAUAUUUAUUAGGAUAUACUAUUCAUUUUCAUGAAUAUUUUAGCUGUAACGUCCCAAUAGUCCCACAUCGGAUGGAAAAAUAAUUCUGAUUAAAAUAUAUGAGGCCUACACGCUAGUAAUAAUAACUGGACUUAAGUAUUUAAGGUCGGUGGUUUGGGCCCAACGAGUUAUUAUUGCUAGCGGGUUAGGUCGGUGCAUUAACUCGCUAUUGCCGAGUUGUAAAGAACAACCCAAAAGGGAGAAAAGCAACACAACAUUAUAGGGAAGUAAAACAGACUGAACGGCACGUGGGCCACCUGGCCCGGCACGACUUCAGGCCGUGCUAUAGCCCGGCAAGCUCGGCCCAAGGCUCGGGGCCGUGCUGGGCCUUACCUUUGGAGCAUUGGGCCAAAAUCUAUCUUUUUUUAAAUAAUACAAAUUUAUUUAUUAUUUUUUAAAAAUUAAAUAUUUAUUUUAGUAUAAUUAUUUUUAUAAUUUUUUUAUUGUUUUAAUAAAAAUAUUAAUUUAAAUUGAAAAUAUUGAUUAUUUAUAUUUUUAAAUUCAUACUAAAUUUUUUUAAAAAAAAUUAAAAAUAAAUAUUUUACUAGGCCGACCCGAAGCACGGUCCGGUCCGGCAUGGCCCGUGCCUUCCAAGCCGAAGGGCCGUGCUGUGUCAGAGGAUAGACAAUUUGGGCCCGACAGUGCCCGGCCCGAAAUUAAAUCCGGACUGAGCGGGGCCAAUCGCUAGCCCGUUUUGGCCUGAAAAAUGUGGGCCGUACCGGCCCGGCACGGCCCAUAUUACACUCCUAUAUAUUCCCCAGUCGCCAAAUUUAAACGGUCGGAGUGAUCCUACUAGUGCUUAAGCCCGAGCUUCGUGGAAAAAUAAAAAUAUUUUGAUGAUUGUUCUUCAAUAGUUUCGGACUAAAGUGGAAACAUAACCUCAUAAUCGGAACUUUUGCUUUUGAUGCGUAGAAUCUCAUUGCAGCUUUUUGUCACUAUAGAACAUUUAGCCCUUGUUUAGUUGGGGGUUAAGGGGUGGAAUAACCCCUUAAUCCCUAUUUUAUCCCCAAACACUCCAAAAAAUGGGUGGGGUUAGCUAACCCACCUCAAAUAAAUUAUCCCGGUUAGCUAACCCCACCUAACCCCACCAAAUUCCAACCAAAUAUUAUUUUCUAUUCAUAAUAACCCACUAUCUUUCUUAUCACACCUAUUCCAACCAAUCAUUAUCCUUCUUUAUCAAUCAUUAUCUUCUUAUCCCACCUACUCCAACCAAACAUUAUUUUUCAUUAUUCUAGACUAACUCCAACCCCCAACCAAAUACAAAAAAACUUUAACCCCAUUUUAACCCUGAACUUAACUUUAUUCCUGGAAUAGCUACUUUUUCCUUAACCCCGAACCAAAUGGAGGCUUAGACUUCUCUAAUGAAUGACGACACUAUCAAAUAACAAUAGAGAAAUGAUUCGAUAUUUUAUUUUAUAAAAAGUAAAAAAAUCUUAACCGUUAAUUAAUAAAGGUUAAAAAUAUCAUUUCAUUAUGUAACAGGUUAAAAGGUUAUUUCAUAUGAGGGUAUUUUUGUAACAAAACUAGACAAAAUUUUUAAAAAAUUUCGAUUAAUAUCCCAAAUUUACCAUUAAUUUUGUAACUAAUUUAAACAUUAAUUUAAAAUUUGAUUGAUAUUCCAAAAUUUAGGCAUUAAUUUUAGGAAUUUUAGAAUUCUUCUAAUUUAGUCAUUAAUUUAAAUUUUAGGAAUUUUAGAAAUAGUAAAAAAUAUGUUCAAUUUAAUUAUUUAAAUUUAAAUUUAAAUAAGAGAAAUUUUGUGUUACUAUUUUAACAAAAUUUAAUGUUGAUAAUAACGAAUUCAACAUAUUUAAUUUGUUUAAGAAACUUUUAAAUUCCUCUAGUUUAGAUAUUAAUUUUUUAUCACAACUUAAAAAAAUUGAAUGUAGGAAAAAUAAUUUUAAAUUCCACGUAUUUAAUAUGUUGUAAUAUUUUUUAACGAAAUAACUGUGGAUUACAGAUAUGAAAUGACAAAAUAUUUAUGGAUUACCGAUGUUAAUAGGUACGAAUACCCAUAAUUUUAUCUGAAUCUGAAUCAAAAUCCAAAAGCAAAUGCAAUGGAUUUGUCUAUUCUAAAUGGAUAUAGUUUUGGAUAUGAAUAUUAAAAAUGAAAAUCCGACAGAUUUAAAUUCGGUUAUGGAUUUUGAUUGUAUCCGAUCUUAAACCGAAACCAACUGAAUCCCGAAUUUAUUUUACGUUAUAUAUAAUAUAUAUAAUUUUUCUAUGUUAUAUUUGAAUAUAUAUUUUAAAAAUUUAGAAUUAAUUUAAUAUAUUUUAAAACAUUGUAAAGAGAAAUAAAUGUUUCGGAUUUUCAGGUUCGAAUUAGAUUUCGGGUUUUGGAUUUUUAGUCCGGUACGGGUGUGGAUAUAAUUUUCUAAAAUUCGUCAAAUUUGGGUUCGGGUUCCGGUUUCGGGUUUGAUAGUCGGAUUCGGGCUCGGAUUUUUGAAAAUCUGCCCCGAAUCUUACCCCUUUACAUCUCUACUGUGGAAUGUGGAUGAAGAAGAAAGAUAGAGGGAGAAAAAAAAAAGAAGAGUGAAUAGAGAUUUAAUUUUUUAUAGUGGAUUAAAAUUAUUAAAUUAUUCAUGUAUUAAAAGAUCAAAAUAUUCUUUUUUGUGAUAUCUGGAAACCGGUACCUCUCUCACCUGCUAUUACGGGUCAUAAUUUUAAAAAAAUUAAGUCUGAGCCGUUGAAUAAAAAUAAAUGAGCGAUUUUGUAAAAUAACAAAGAAUAGAAGUAUUACUCAUAACAAUAAGUGAAAAAGCGGGCGAAAAUGAUAAAAGAAAACUUACAUAAACGCAUUUUAUGUAAUUAUUUAGAAUCUUUUGCCUUUAAAAUGUCAGAAUUUUUGGACCCAUAUAAAAGAAUGCUUUUAUUUCCUAAAGUGAUUAGGUGGAAAUUCAAAAUGUAUGGAGACUCCCUCAACUAUAGACUUCUAUGAAAUGGCCCCUCAACUUUUAAAUUUAUUUAAUUUGAGUUAUCUUAGUCCAAUAAUGACUCGGUUAAAAUUUUUAAAUAAUUUUAAUAAACUUUUAAGCGUAUCUAAGAAAGUAAUCACAAUUUAGACACAGAAGCUGCAAACUAAUAAAAAUUAGGACUAUAGAAGGUGUUGAUUGAGGAAAAAAGUGAUUUCUCAUAUAGCAGUAGCAUGCUAAAUUGCUAUUUCCAAACUAAUCAAUUAUAAAUAAGAGAAAAAGAAAAUUUCAUCGUAAAACUCCUAAAAAUAUAUUGGUUCGAACUUCAAAGUUCAAAAAAUCAAAGUUUAAGAUUGGAACUAUUUGAUAUUUCAAACCAUCUAAAGCAACAAAUUAAAAAUUUUGGGAGUAAAGUAAAAUAAAUGGAAUAGGUUAGGGACCAAUUUGAAAUUUACCCCACUACUUAAUAGUAGUCCCUGUAUUAGAGUCGGCAAUAUUCGCAAAGACAACGCCGACUCUUUACUAAAUCCCUCUUAUUCUCGUUUGGAGCGGUGACUCCGUCAGAUAACAGCGAGGAGCUCGGAGGCCCAGACUAUUGCGGGCUUUGCGAGGGAGGUGCCUGUUGGUGUGGACUCGUGGUGGGAGGUAAGCCAAGUUCAUGUCGGUACCCUGUGAGGAUUUCCAAGUCAUUCUCAGGAUGGAGAAAUGGUUAAGGCCUUAGUCGUGUGGCAGACGAUGGGGCAAUGAUUAUGAAGAAUCAGUUUGCGGUCCGUGGUUGGGGUUGCCGCGGAGUUGGGUAUUGCGAAUAAGUCGUAAGACUCAUAACCCCACGAAUCCCGUCUCUUAUCUUUUUCUUAGUAUAAUUGUAUGGAGGCCCCCUCAACUAUUGGAAAUUUGAUCUACAGGCCCAUAAAUUUUUUUUUAUGUUGAAAGCCUCUCAAUUUCUUUUUAUUUUUUGAAUCAAAUAAUUAUAUCAAAUUUAAUAGCUUUUAUUUAUUUUUUAGUAAUAAAACUAAACGAUUUAACAUUUACUAACUAGUCAUUAUAUAUAGUAAUAUUUUUAAUGUAAUCAAGUAUUAAAAAUUCAAUAAAAAAAAUAGAAGUUGAAGGGAGAGGGUCUCAAUCGAAAGAAAAAAAAAAGGUAAGGAUGCGUUUCAAAUUUGUACACAGUUGAAGGGCCUCCGUACAUUUUUUCAUAUACUUUUCUCCCCUAAAUCCUCGUCGUUGUCACCUUCUCUUUUCUCUGCUUCCUCUCUCUCUCUCUCUCUCUCUCCUCUCCCCCCCCUCUCUCCCCCCAUUUUCGCCAUGGAUGAGGAGUACGAUGUGAUAGUGCUCGGGACGGGGCUCAAGGAGUGCAUCCUCAGCGGCCUCCUCUCCGUCGAUGGCCUCAAGGUCCCACCGUUUAUCCGAUCUAUGCUUGUUUUAUGCGUUCGUUACGAUCUAUAAACUUGUAAUUGAGUUACGUGUGGAUCGAUCUCCAUCCAUGGUGUUUGAUCUCAAUGUGUUGUUGGUUGUUGUGCGUUCGCAUCAUUGUGAUUAAUGUGAGAAUUAUAGUUGAAUUGGACCUUAAAAAUUGCGUCUUGGGAUGUUAUUUGUCUCUGAUUUGUUAAGUCUAGGCAACUCUUUAUGAUUCUUGUGCUUACAGGUUUUACAGAUUAUUGUAGUGCAUUAAAACAAUAGUGACCUUUAAAUUUUGGUUCUAAUGUAAAAAAUAUUACCUUGUUUUGAUGUUACAAUGUAUUUGUUAUAUAGCUUAUUCUGGUUCUAAGAAGAACACUCGUUGUUGCUUUAGUCACAUUAGUCCCCAAUUCAAUUAGCCAUAACUACUCAAAUCUAUUUCAAAUUGCCCUAUAGUUGAGGAGAAUUCAUGCAUUUCUACCUUUUCAUUUCGAAUUGCGUAAUGACAAUAACUAUAUUCAGACAACAAUGAGACGACAAGCUAUCAUUUGAAAUUCUUAAGUCAAAGAGUUGUCAAAUAUGAGAUAUUUAGUUGUAAUGAUUUUCAUGGUAAUUGACCUGCUAGUGGUUAACUUUCACCUUUUCGGAAGUUUGAAUUUGAUGUGAUUGAUGUUGAAGCACUCGACGUAGUGGCAGCAUUUUCCAUACAUGCCUAUUUUAAGUUAAUGAUAUAUUAAAACAUUAUCAUGGUUACUAAAGUUGCUAUUUAUGGAUCAGGUCUUGCACAUGGAUAGAAAUGACUAUUAUGGUGGAGAGUCUUGCUCACUCAAUCUCUUCCAGGUAAGAAACUUCGUCUUUGGAGAUCUAAUGCAAAUAGAAAGUUGCAAACUGAUAUAUUCGUCUUUGUACUUAUUUGAAUAUCACUGUGUGGACAUUUACAAUGCUUAAUCUGAGUAGCAUCUUGGUUUUUAUUAUCUUACUAUAGUGUUUGAUACGCAUGAUUUAUGUGUACUUAGUGCAUUUAUUCAUACUUCCAUGAUGGCUGAAAUGCCAUUUCUUAUUACAGCUUUGGAAAAGAUUUAGAGGUAAUGAUAACCCCCCUGCACAUCUGGGACCGAGCAGAGAUUACAAUGUAGACAUGAUUCCAAAGGUAUGUUCUUACUCGUUACAUUACGAAGUAAAUUUAUUCACCUUGCAGUGAGAACUUACACUUUAGUAAGUUAUUCCACUAAAACUUGCAUAUUUUGUGGCCAAACCAUACUUAUAUGCUUGGUUGAUGUAAGACAAGCUGGAAGUAACCGACAAUACCCACUGUUGCUCAUUGUCUCUUAGGUUUCUGCUUUUAUAUUGGAUGGUGUAAAUACAGUUCAACACUAUACAUCGAGAUGUUGCGCCAAGUUAAUUUUAGUUGUCUAGUAUUCUUAGCGAACUUGCAUAGAAGGUGUGUUCGGUUGGACCUUCUUGUCCCAGGGAAGUUUACUCUUUGCUGUUGUGAUGCCACUAAUCAUUUUGAGGUUCUCUCUUAAAUGUGCUAAUCUGUUAGCUUCAAAUUACUUUUGUGCAUUAUGAUUGAAAUUGUGAAAAGAACAAAGCAUUUUCUCUUGGAACUCCUCAAAUUGUUUUACAGGCCUGUAUUGCAAUUAUCUUACCUUUUGAGAAACUACAAAUAUGAUUAAUUUUUGCAAAUUACAAUUCAGAAGCCUCUUCUUUACCCUCCGCUCCACUAGGCUACUCUGCCAUCAGUAAGAAAUUGUCAGUUGGGGAGGAGGAAAUAUCAGUAGGAACUUAUGGAUUUAUUGUGGAAACAUGGAAUUUAUUCUUUGCUUUUUCCAAACUCAUGACUUUGCUUCAACUGAAGGCGAUGGAGCACAGAGAUGAAGAUCUAGUCAAAAAAGUGAUUAAAGAUGUAGAAAUUUGCUACUUCAAUAAUUAUUCUCAUAGUGAAACCAUUCCAUUAUAGAAUAAAUAUCUUGCACAUAGGAUUGAUGUGUAAGAAAGAAAACAAGGAAAACAAACUGAUCAGCUUGAUUAUUUCCAUUUCCAUAGGGUUUCACAUUUAUUUUUACAGCAAUCUCUUAAUAUGAAAAUAGAGAUCAUUCUUGCUUGGACAAUUGCUUAGACAAACAAUAUGUUGGUUUUCACUUCCAAAAAAUAUACAUGAAUUACUUCUUCUUUUUUCGUAAUGACAAGUUGAUUAUGGCAACUUAAGUAUUGGUCUUUGUUCAUUAAGAUUAAAACUUUCUAAAUUUCAAGCCUGAGUUGUGCUUGGAAGUGCAUGCUCUUUGCGUGUUCUUUUCAAUGUCGCUUUUGAAAUGGAGUUGGCUAGUUUUUACAGUUAAAAUUUUGACAUUUCUUAAAGAGAUAGUGGAACUCACUGGAUAAUGUUUCUCUGGUUAGUUCAUGAUGGCAAAUGGAAUGUUGGUUCGAGUUCUCAUUCAUACUGAUGUUACAAAGUAUCUGUACUUUAGAGCUGUAGAUGGAAGUUAUGUCUUCAACAGAGGAAAGGUACUUUGCCAUUUUCCUUUAUCAGUUGCUUCUGUUGUUAAGCUUCCUCUUUUCUCUUUUGAUGAUUCUUUUGUUGACAAAUUCUUUUUUUUUACGUUUUGUCAGAUUCACAAGGUGCCUGCCACUGAUAUGGAGGCGCUGAAAUCUCCAUUAAUGGGAUUGUUUGAGAAGCGACGAGCUAGGAAGUUCAUCAUUUACGUCCAAAAUUAUAAUGAAAGUGAUCCAAAGACACACGAAGGUUUGGACCUUACAAGACUGACAACUAGAGAACUGAUUUCGUGAGUACUUAUUACUGCUUACAUAUUAAUUCUAAGAAAGCUUCUCAUCUAUGGAUCAUUCUGUAAAAAUAUCUCUCGUUGCCUUUUUUUUGUGGUUUGUUUUGGAGCAUAUUUUUUAAUUUGCAUACAUAAAGUAGAAUAGUGGCAAGGAUUGUCGUGCCAGUCUGCACAGUCUAGCAUAGCCGGCACGUGCCGCCAUGCCGACCGUAUAAAAUAGGGCAUAAGCUGAGGAGUGCCAGCAUACCGGACCGUGCCAAGAUAUAAAAUACAGUGUGAGCCGAGGAGUGCCAGCAUACCGUUCCAUACCACUAGCUCACCGGCAUGCCCUAUGCUAGGGACACAACAAUCCUUGCAUAGUAGUAGAGAAGUAAAAUGAUUUUUAGAUAAUCCAUUUUUUGGCAAGUUUUGGAACGCAAAGGAAAUUAGCUUUUUCUAUAGUACCUACACUCCGAUUGUUUCUAUGUCGUUCUUUUAAUAUAAAAAUUUAAUCAGUUGCUUCGGAAGCAGAAAAACUCUCUUAUAAUUCCUAUAACUCUAAUUUUUCCUUGUUUUACUUCAGAAAAUAUGGUUUGGAUGAUAAUACAGUGGACUUCAUUGGUCAUGCUUUCGCUCUUCAUAGAGAUGAUCGCUAUUUAGAUGAGCCUGCCCUUGACACUGUAAAAAGGAUGAAGGUAACUUUGCUGCCAAGAGCAUGUUGGCAUGUCUUGAUUGUUAAUAUAUAAUAUGUAGUUGACUUGCAUGCGCUUUUUUUUAAUCCUGCUUUUAAAAUUUGUAGGCUUAAUAACUACAUUGUUGCUAAUACUUCUACUGAAUGUUUUGGUGAUAGCUUUACGCCGAAUCUCUUGCUCGUUUCCAAGGUGGUUCACCAUACAUUUACCCAUUGUAUGGACUAGGAGAGCUACCACAGGUCAAUCAGUUUUUUCCCUUGUACCAUCUGUAUUUUCAUCUUUCAAAUACAUUCAUCCUCCUGACUUGAGGUUUCUCCAUGUAAAUGCAGGCUUUUGCACGCCUUAGUGCUGUUUACGGGGGGACAUAUAUGUUGAACAAGCCAGAAUGCAAGGUAGCUCUGUUAAAUUACGCAUCUAAAAGACAUUAUAUGAUCAUUAACAACUCCAAAUGCAAUAUAGUAGGGAAAAUUCUGAUUCUUAUUUAGUGUGACCUGCUUAAUCAAUUCUCCUAAUCUUAGCUAAUAUUUUGGGCUAUCCAGGUUGAAUUUGAUAUGGAAGGAAAAAGUUUGUGGUGUGACAUCGGAAGGGGAAACUGCUAGAUGCAAGAAAGUUGUCUGUGAUCCUUCUUACCUGCCCAACAAGGUAGAGUGACCAAGUCUGGAUAUCUUGAACUGUGAAAUUUGUCCUCAAAUCUACUUUGCUUGUAUCCCUGUAAUUAAUUAUGUUGAAUGUAUCCCACUAGUUCCAGCUAAAUUGGGGAAGGUUGCUACCAAGGUAUUAAAAUAUUGUAGCAUGCAUGCAUGCAUGGCAUGUGUGUUGCUAAAUUACGAACACUGUUGUGCGACAGCACAUAUAAUGCCAAUACACAGUAUGGCCUACCAUACUCUGCUUGCACAAUCCGGGAAUACUUGUAAUGAUGAAACUAGAAAAUCUAUCUGUUGUUUUUCUAAUUUGAUUAAACUUUCAGAAAAUUAUUUGGAUAUAUUGCAAACAAGGGUCACAAAAUAGGAAAACUGAAUACCCCUAAAUUAACCCUCAAUUUUGUCUAAUUUAGAUCGUUUAAGGAUAUGGUAAAGAAGAAAAUGGUCUGGAAAGCAAUUUAAACUUGGAAAAAUUGCAAAAAAGAGGCUUAUGAACCAUGCCGUUAGCAUGACCAUGCCAUGCUGAUACCGUGAUGCCAUGGAAUGUGCUGAUUCAUGCCUUGCCGCUUAUUCAGAGCUAUGGAUUUUCUGGUAAUAUGACCCACAGAGGUUUUCUAUAAUUUGCUUCCAGGUUAGGAAGAUCGGAAAAGUUGCGAGAGCAAUUGCUAUUAUGAGCCACCCUAUCCCAAACACUGAUGAAUCUCACUUGGUGCAAGUUAUAUUGCCCCAAAAGCAACUGGGCCGAAAGUCAGACAUGUGAGUUGCUUUCAUCAAGUCAUAUACUAGCUUCACUUAUCAUUAGUGUGUGUGUUGUUGCAAGUUUAGGGUCACUUGGAUUUUUGGUUAUGUCAGGUUUCAGGUUGUUUUGGUUGUGAUUGUCCUUGGUUUUUGGUUGCUAGGGUUGGAUUGUCUUGCAUUACUUUGGGUUUGGGUUACUUCGUACUUCGGACCAUUCAGGGUUGGAUAGUUGACUUCUCAAGUCAACUUGGGUUAUCUUGGGUUUUGACUUUUGGGCAGGUUGUUUAGGCUGGGUGUCCAGUCAGCUUUUGCUGCUGAUGCAUAUCAUGCUGCUAAUGAUUCUUUCUAUAUCUAACGUCUUACCAUCUACUCCUGUUUUAUGACGUAUUAUCAGGUUUCUUUUCUGUUGCUCUUUUUUUCACAAUGUUGCGCCAAAGGGGAGGUUCAUCGCCUUUGUCUCAACAGAAGCUGAGACAGAUAAUCCAGAGAAAGAACUUAAGCCAGGGAUCGAUCUUCUUGGGCCUGUGGAUGAGUUAUUCUAUGAGACAUAUGACCGAUAUGAGCCGGUGAAUGAACCCUCUUUGGACAACUGCUUCAUUUCAACUGUAAGUCUUCCAAUCAUUUCUUUUUUAACUCCAAAAUUUGCAGAUACUCAGCAAGUAGUUUGCUUUCUUGCAGAGUUAUGAUGCUACUACACACUUUGAAUCUACUGUGACGGAUGUGCUUUCCAUGUAUAAUAUGAUCACUGGAAAGGUAAAGUUUCUCCUAUCUUUUUGGUUUCUACCUCCCUUUAUUCGUUACUUGUUUCAUAUUAUGAGGGUACGGAGCGACAAUUAAGAGUUCCGAUAUACUAAUAUGAUCUUAGACUACUUGAGUACAGGUCAACAACUACAAUUUUUUAAGCUCAUAAACCUUAAGAUUAAGCUGUGCCUAUUUCGACAAUUUUAUUCGUGGUUGAUACAAAGAAUUCAUUCAUUAAUUAAUUGUUUGUGAUUGACAAUCUUAAUGGUGGAUGUCACGAGAUUAUUCCUUCACCAACUUAAGAAUAGUCUAAAUUAGUUUGCAUUUGAUUAAUUUCAAGUAGUAUUAAUUGACAGUCUUUUUUUGGUCUCUGCACUCUGCAUGGUUCACAACUUUUAUUGUUUAAAUCAAAUUUAAUGCCACAAUAAAUUACAAAAUUUAACGGUCAAACUUUAAUUUUGGAAAGCAAUUAUCAAGAUUCAAAUGCUUACUAAAUAUCACGUCUCUACUGAAUCCAUAUUUAUGUGUACAUAGAUAAUGACAAACACAAGCAUAUGCAUCUCAACGUAUCAAAAAAGUAUGUAGUAAUGCACAUAACAUUAAUAUUAUAAAUAUAUGUUGGAACUCCAGUGGAUGUGCAUUAACUACUUGUAGAAAUCACAUCAUAUCCAUUUGAUAAAUUGAUUUGAACUUGUCCUAUGUACUAAAUCUAGUGAUGUUUUCUCUCCGUAUUUUGUUUUUUAAGUUAUAUUUUGAACUAAUUAGCUAUUUUAAAAUACCCAAAAGCAACAAAUUAUCUUUUUCAAUCAUUGUACAGUUAAUUAAUUUCAAUUCGUGGCCUAAAGGUACGUCUUUGUGUUUUUCUUUUUAUUUCUUUGUUUCAGAUAUAGACGAUGUUAACUUUCUACAAGAUCUCGAAUUCUAACACCCUGAUCAUAUUUUGUCAACAGACUCUUGAUCUUAGUGUGGAUCUGAGUGCUGCUAGUGCUGCCGAAGAAUGAGCUGAGGAGUUCUCUGACUUUGAAGUCCCAGACAUUCAAAUUUUACGAGAUGUUCUUUACGAACAAAUGUCGUUUAAUAGGCUGUAGGAAAUUGGAGAUUUUUUUUUUCUUUUCUAUUAAAUAACUGCAGCUUCUCUGUACAUUAUACCCUGUUACUUAGUUAUGUCUAGGGGAGUAUUUGAAAUGUGAUCUUAGAAAAAUCUAUUUAUGAUUAUGGGUUCAUAUUCUGCUGUUUCAUAUUGGAUUCUGCUUCUUUUCGAACUCCAUAAUGAGUUUCUCAAUUCCUUAGAACACUUCAUUGCUCUGCAGUUCAGGUAAAAUAAUAUAUGGACCUUACCUAAACAAUACUAUAUUUUGAUGUAGGUACCUAAACUUUAAAAAAUUUGAUUUUAGGUUAACUGUGACCCUAUAAAAAUGUCUGAUUGGAGUUUAUUGGCUUCGAAAACUGAGAAAUGGAUUUUAAAACUUUCUUGUUUCCUACAUGGAACUAAUAAAUUAAUGGUCUUAUAUAUGAUGUGAAUUAAUGGACUACAUGAGCCUAAUUUGAACUCAAUUAUAGUGAAAAAAAAGGAAAAAAAAAAUCAACUUAAAACUGUUCCAAUAACACUAGAUAUUAAACUUGAACUCCCAAAAUCGUAUUCACUUGAAAUAUUUAAAUUGCCCCAGCAAUUGAGACUUUAGCGUGACAUUUAAAUCUGAAGAUAAACUAUAUUGUAUGAGUUAUAACAUGUAGGAAUAUGGCAACUUAAAUCCCAUUUAGUCUCUGCAUUUCUCAUUUAUGCACUUAAAUCCCAAAUCCCAUAAAAUGUCAAUGAGGAUAUUUCUCUCUUUCUAUAAAAACUACAAAAGAUUUGGUUUUUUUUUUUUGAGAAAAAAAAAUAUUUGGUAUUGUUUACCCGCACGUGUCUUGUGUGCAUGAUAUAGAUUACGUGUGCAUGAAAAAUUCAUAUGCACUGAAUACACAAAUUAAUAAACGAUCUAAUAUAGAGGAUUCUGCUAAGGUCAUGCAUAUAAUUCAAGAUACCAUGUGAGAGAUAACCAGCACACUGAUCUAUAAAUAAUAAAAUUUGUCUGUAAAAGGCCCAAAACAUUACCUCACAAUAUAUAUUAUUAUGAAAAAAAACUUAUAUAUCCAACUUACCCGUACUGUGUCGCAUCUUGAAAAUAAAGAGCACUCGAGUUUAAAUAUGGGUUACGUACUAUAUAUCUCUCCUAAUAAUAAUGUGAUUGAUUUAGGUAUAUAUUCUGUGUGAGAAUUUAACAAAUAUUCUCAACAUCUUCGACAAGAUGUAUAUUUUAUUGUUAUUUGAUGAAGCAUUUUGCAAUCUAAUAAAAAAAUAACACUGAUCACCAAGUGGAAUUUCUCAAGUAGCUAAGUCCAUAAUAUUUUAUUCGAUUACUUUUUCUGUGUAGUCAUGAAUGGGGCUUGAACAAGAACACAAUGCAUCCGAAGAGGCAUAAAUUAAUAUGGGCGGUAUUUUAGUUGCAUGAAGCUUUUCCACUUCCCUUUUGUCCAAGUACUAUAUCACUUUGAUAGCUUCUAUGAUUUAUUUUAUUUUAUUUUAUCUUUUUACAUUUUAGAUAAAUAUUAGAAAAAAUCCAACUAUAAGCAAUGUUAUCUGUACAUUUAUAUAUAGGGUUUGCGUUUUACACCAUAGUCAUUCGAAGAAGUUUAAUACUAUCAUUACACUUAUAUAUAGGGUGCAAAUACUUGCACCCUAGUCAUCCAAAAACUAAUAUCUUUUUACUAGAUUUGUCAACCCUUCUUUUCUUUUUCCAAUGCUAAAAGUCCAUGACAAGUAGGGUGUGCGGGUAGUAAGAAAUAAUGCUUUGAGAAAUGCUACUUGUACAUAAAAAAAAAAAGGGUGUAAAUCUUACUCCUCCUAAUUCUAAACUUUAAAUAAUCCUUUUAGGUUUUUAGUAUUAAAAAUAAAGGACUGGUAUAGAAUGUUAAUUGUCCCUUGGAUGAAGGAGUAUACAUAUAAAUUACACACUUUUUGAGUAUAUAUAGAUAUAUAGCAGUGCUCUACUGCAUUUUAUCCUUUCUAAAUGAAAUAAACGGAGCGGAUAGCGUGCUAUCUAUCUCUCAAAAAAAAAAAGAAAAAGAUGUGCAAUGCUGUGUGUAUAUUUAAAAAGUGGGUGUAAAUUUUAUACGCUAUCCAUCCAACUAUCCAAGGUCCAAUAUUUUUACACCAGCUAGCCUUCUCAGCUUUUUUUUUAAAAUAUUGAAAAUUCGAAAGAGUUUCUCUAAAGUCUAAAUCCUUGGAUAGAUUGAUCCUUGGAUCAACAGAUGUAAGAUUUAGGCCCCAGUUGUGGCUGUUCAAGUAGCAUUUCUCUGAAAAGAUAUGGUGGGUUCUUGCUAGGAUGGCCUACAAUUUUAUUUGUACUAAUACGACAACGCUCUAAGGUCUUUUUGUUAAAUAAUAUGAAACAAUCGUUUAUUUUUAAAAAUUUAAGCUACUAACUAAAGAACAAUGUUCCUUAUAUUUAUAUUUGACGCUAUCCUCUAAUACCAUGUUAAACAAUAUGAUACGACCGUUUUUUAUUUAAAAGAAUAUUUUUAAUAUUUAUAUUUAGAGAAAUUCUACGUGUACGCAUAAAAAAGUGAGUGCAAAACUUACGCCCCCUCCAUUAAUUCAAGGAUCAAUUUUGCACACUUGUCCUAUUAACACUUUUUUAGAUCCCUCUCCUCAGAGGUAAUCUUUUCCGUCAAAGUCCACAUGAGAAUUAUAAAAAUAUCCGAGCUAGAAAAUGCUUCCACAAUGCACACGAGUACAAUAAUAAAAUAUUUUUAAAAUAUUAUGUUACUAUAAAUUAUUACUCAUAAUUAGACUCUUUGUCAUCCUAUAAAGCAUCGAUGCAUGCAUUUGGUUUGUGAUAUAUUCUAUGUUGUGCAACUACUACAAUAAAGACCUCUUUUUUUUUCUCCUUGAGCGAAGUGACUAAUUGAAUAGUCAUUUUGAGGUAUAUAUACUAUCCUGUAAUGUCUUCAAACACAAAAAAAAAACUCUAAUCUUUUUUAUUGUAACACAUUAAAAGAUAAUAAAAAUUGAACGUAGAUUCACUCUAUUUUUCAAUAUUAAUGUUUAAUUGUCAUAUAUAGCUAGAAGAAAAAAAAAAGGUUUCUUCUUCCUUUGAAUUUAUACAAAAUUAUAUACAAGACAUGCAAUCGAAACAACUGUUCAAAUAUUAUAAAUUUGCUCAAGAUUAUUAAUUAGGAGCCUAUUAAACUAUUUGAUGAAGUUUAGGUAUAAUUUUUAAACCCAGAAACUAAAAAUUGCUUAUAUUAAAGCAUUUAAUAUUAAAAUUCCGAAAAUGUGCAAAAUUGGUCCUUGGAUAUGUAGAGAGUUGUAAGAUUUACACCUCCUUAUUGCUUGUACAAGUAGCAUUCCUCUUCCUAUUACAUUUAACAUCCUAUGUAUUCCCUAUCUUUUACGGAUCGACUUCAUUUUUUUUCCAUUAAUUGUUUGAACAUCGCUUGUAACUAGGCUUUCGUGACGAACACACACUCCUGCUUGAAGAGUACACUCAAAUCCAAAAUUUACUAUUCAAAAAAGAGGGUAUCUGCCAACUGAUCCAUAGUGGUGGAAGGACCUUCUUUUUAACCAUCUCCCCCUCCACAAUGCACAUGAACAAAAGUUGUAACAAAAUUAUAGAUUUUUUUUUUUCCUAAUCAGAAAUCCAAUGCACUUUCUUACUAUCACCUCAAAUCUUUAAUUGUGCCGAGUUUGGAACCAUGGAUUCCCCUUUUCUUUUAAAGAUUAUUUUGGAUCAAAAUUUCAACUAAACACAAUCCAAAUUGGAAAAUGGGAAUGGAAACCCCAGGAUAUAUGCUACGUCAUAAAAACGAACUUUACUACCACCAAUGUGCAUGAAAACACACAUGCUAUGCCACAGGAACCUUUUUGCAGUUAAUUUGUUUCCCUUGCGUAGAGAGAAUACGUUAUAUAUUAUGAGAAAACAAUUGAUGAUGGCAUAGCAUGAGACUAAAUUUAAUGCACGCGUUGUGGAAUCAUCUCUCUCUCUCUCUCUCUCUCUCUCUCUCUCUCUUCUAUUUUCCCUUGAAUGUAAGCCACCUAUAUAUUAAACCAAAAGAGAACACCCAUGCAUGGGACCAUAUAUGCAUGAGCAUUAAUAUGUGUUGGUGCAUAUAUAAUUCCACAUACCUGUGACGGUGAUAUGAUAUGAUGAUCACCGAAGUCACUAAAUUGGCUCCUUCUUACCUACUAGUUCGCAUGCAUACGUAUACACUCAUAUAUACAUAUAGUUGCACUUUUGUAUAUAUAUUAAUAUUAUAAUUCUAAUUAAUUUGCCUUCUUUAUUGGUUAAGGUAAUCAAAUAUUAUUUAGAACUCUCAUUAUGUGUACUUAUUUUUUAUUUUUUACGAAGGAAUUUAUUGUUUAAUUAUUAGAACAUUACAUAAAACUAUUUCAGUCACUAAUCGUGCCUUUGUGGCUAUCAAAGCUUGUGUGAUAAUAGCUAGAUGCAUGACAAAAGAAAGAAAUGACCAUAUGGAUUAUAUAUUCUAUUUCAUUGCAUUACUCGGGCUCAAAACAAAACAAGUGAUGAGUUUUGAUGUUUAAUAUCCCGUCCUUCACACGUUGAAAGAUUAUAACUAUAUUUGAGUGGAAUAAAGUAACAUAACUCCUACAUAUAGAGUAUUAAUAUAUCCUAUCAUGCUACUUAUGAGAAAUUAAGUAUCAUGUUAGUUAACUAAUAUAAAUUAAAAUGUAAUGCAUGCUAAUAUUAUCAGUACUUGGAGUAAUAUUAUUCAUGCAGUAACCAGGCAUUUCCUUCUAUUAUAGAGAAAUGCUAAGCCUAGCUACAAGCCAAAAAUGUUGUAGGUCUACAACCCCUAAUCUAAGGUUGUAAUCCUCCCCCUAGGGUUUAUACAGCCCUUUUUGGGUUUUAGUAUCAAAAAAAGAGAAUGAUAUGACUAGAGUAAAAAAGUUAAUUAGCUUUUAGAUGUAUAAGUUGUAAGAUUACAACCAAAAGGACACUUCUAGAGAACAAAAGAUGUUAGUUUUAUUCAUUUAAUUAACUUAUAUAUAUUAUAUAACUUUGAGGAUUAUCAUGUGAAUGUAAAAUCAACAUACAUACGAGAAUCAGACGAUUGUGCAUUGAACUUGUCAUGUAUAUGUCGCCAAUGAUUUAAUGGCCACCGAUAGAUGUCGGUAUCCACUGAUGCGCCUUGAGCGACUAACGAACUAUUCAUGCCGUAUAAUAUCAGCUGGUAGAAUUCAAUUUGAAAGGUGAGUGUGCUAUAAGGGCACAAUGCAUAGAAUUUAUGAUCUUCCAUUAAUACUGAAAACUAAGUUAGCUACAAAUGUUCAAUGUGGAUCAAUUUGGUUUCUGGUAUGCAUGCACUAAGGCGAACAUUCAAAUUAAUAAAUACUCCAACUCUUUUUUAUCAUCAUGCUGAAAAAGUUUGUUCGGUUCAUGAAAGGUGCAUCAUGUUUUGCUGUAGUAUUCCCUUAAUUGUGUCUACUUUAUCAGAAGAGGACAUAAAGCAAUAAUAAGCUCUUUGAAAAAUUAAGUUCGAGAAACAAAAAAUUCUUUUGUAAUUUCUUGAAAUAUGACUAGUUAAUAUAUGUAUAUGCUGGAAUCAAUAAGAAAACUUUGAGCAAAAAUGAUGCUUUUAAGAUGUUUCACUAGCAUAAUGCCAAAUUAAGUUGGAGAUAGAUGCUCAAGAAAAAAUUUCAAUAAUGUACAUAACAUUUCAAAAAACAUUUCUGAAUUAUAUCUAUUUUAGUACAAGCAUCAUGCUUGGUUUCGUAAAAGAUGGAGCAAAUCCAAAGCUAAUAUAUACCUAUAUAUAUAUAUAGAUGAUCAAAAGUGAGGAUUAUUAUUUUAAUGCAAUGUAGAAAACCAAAGGUCAAUUUUAAACUCUUUGGUUUCUCUAAGGUUUUAAACUCAAUUAGUUUAUCCCAAGUUUAAUGGAAUUACAUUCUCUAAUACUACUAAUAUAUAUAUAUAUAUAUAUAUAUAGAAUUGGAUUAGACCGAUUCAAAUAGAGCAAACUAAAUACUACUGUUAUAUAUUGUUAUAUGAAUUUAGAAAAGCGAGAUUACUUCAUAUAUUUGUGAUUUUGGAUGUCAUGAAUGUUAUGAAUUUGGAUUCGCGUAUUUUCCACAUUUUGCAUAUCUGAAUUUGUAUAUAUUGACUUUAAGACAGAUCUGGUGAUAAGUAAGAACAAUAUUUUCAAAGAUAUAACCCUAAUGACUCUCUAGGAGAGUUGACAAACAGGGUUGGCUUUUAGGUAUUGUUGACAGGAGGCUUCUUUGGGUCCAUUAGGAAGAAUUGCGUAGAAGACGGUUUCUAGCGUGAUCGUAUCAUGGAGAUCUCUUGAUGAUCAUCUGUUUUCACUAACCAGUCCUUUUCACUGACAAUUUCUCUUGAGGAUUUUGUUUUCUCUUCAAUAGUCUUUUUGCUUCUUGUUCUUUCUACAAGCAAUAUAUAGAAAACAAAUAUAUAUAUAUAANCUUUUUGCUUCUUGUUCUUUCUACAAGCAAUAUAUAGAAAACAAAUACAUAUAUAAAACUGUACACGGUACAGUAAAACCCUAGUAGAGGUGCAUUAUAUAUAUAUAUAUAUAUAUAUAUAUUGUAUGAUCAUAUUUUGACUUGGUAUAUAUGCAAGAGGAGAUUGGAAGAUUCAGAGUUGGGAGCUUUUGGAGUCUCCCAUGAUUCCUCACGAGACCCAUUUUCAAAGUCUUAGCAUUCCAGAGAGCUAAGAUUAACAUAGGUGUGAGAAAGUUGAAAGUGUGAUGGAUGCAUGAGUGGUAGAGAGAGAAUAGGUGUGGUGGACCACGAAUAUAUAUAUAUAUGAACCAAAUAGAAAGACCAAGGGUGCAAUGGUUCCACACCCAACUUGUGUUGGCCCCAUUUAAUGCAAAAAGGAUUACUCUAGGCAUUGUGAGGUGAGCUCACCAUGAGAGAGAGUGAGAGAGAGACACACACACACACAUAGAAAGAGAGAGAGAGAGAGAGAGAGAGAGAGAGAGAGAGAGAGAGAGAGAGAGGUGAAGGGCUUAGAUGUCACGGGUUUCACUUGACUCUUAGCUUGCUACAUGCAACCAUAUAUAUCUACCCAAGAAUACAUAUAGUACUACAGUGCUCCAACUAUAUAAAAACCAGGUUGCAAAGUAAUUCCAGAGGCAUCUUACAAAGUCAUCUCUUCUUCUUUACACAAGAAAACAAAUAGCAUCAAUCAACGCAUGCAUCUGUAUAUUAAGGUAGGUUUUGGAAUGAGGUGUGUACAUGAGAGUGAAAACCAUAGUGGAAGAUACAAAGAAACCAAAAAAUUAUAUAUAAAAAGAAGGGCAUGGAUGGAGGGGUAAAUUGCACCACUAGUCCCUAAACAUUUUAACAACACUUUACUUUCAUCCUUGAACUUUUAACUUGAACAUUCCACUCUAUAUAUACUGGUGAUCAAAUAUUAAUUCACUUUAACCUUACCGUAAUUAUCUGUUCUCGAAGAAAUAGUUAGUUAUUUUCUACAUCUGGUGCAUCCGUAGAUCCAUGAACAAUGCAUCGAUACAUGAUACAUCGCCUUCAAUUCCUUCUCUCAUAGUGAUCCAAUUCCUAUCACUCAUUGAUCAGUUGAGGUCAUUUCUCUACUUCGAAAUUGGAUAGUUAAAUCAAAUUAAACUACAAGAUGAAUAGAAAGUUAAUGAAUUCGUAGUGCUUGGAUGGACCGAGGAAUCAGUUGCAAGCUUCUUUUUUUUUUUUGCAAUUAAUACAAAGAUAAAAUGGACAUUUUUGAAAGUUCACAGAGUAUCUCGAAUUUCUAACUAAAAAGAUAACGUAGCAAAGUGAAACUUUUCCUUUUUGUUUUUAUUUUGUUUUUUCUUUUGACAAUCUGGAGUUUGGCCCCUAGCUACAACCCUACCGAGAGUCUCCGUACCAGGAACUCGAACCCACGAACCCUCAAACCCGGCCCACUCAGAUGCCUUAUCGUUCAGAUACCAAUAGUUUCAGUAACAAGAAAUGCUAAGUUUACAAUGAAAAAAAACUAUAAUCUCUACAACCUCUCAUCCAAGAGUCGCAGGAUUUACAAAGAAUUUUAUAGUUAAUAUAUCCGAGGUUUCAAAUUCGAAACCUAGUUGCUUCACGUUUACAGCUAAAUUCAUUACGUAAAAGUAAACAAAACAAGAUAAUUCGCUACGUAACUUUCUCUCUCUAAUUAAAAAGAAAAAAAUGAUAAGACAUGUAUUAAAUGAAAGUAGUAGUAGGAUUACACCCCAGAGUGGGCUGUAAACCUAUUACUGCUCUUAAGUAAUAAAACUGUGGGCUAGAUCAUGUUCUAGAAUUGCAAAUUAACCACAAGAAAGAGGAGGGACCCAAAAGAGAAGCAUGCAUGACAAGAAAGACAGAUUUGCAGUAGAGAGGGUAGAGACAAGAAUAGAAGCAUUAGCCAAUCACCUCUGAUAGGGGGCUACCGCCAAGUUGUCCUCCUCCAUUGCUUGGUCCCUUUCUCAUCUUCAACUCCCUCAAUGCACCCUCAUCUCUAUAUGCAUAUGAGAACCUCAUUUAACCCCUCCACAUAACCUUUUGCCUUAAUUACUAGUUGGAGUUAUAUACAGAAAGAUUUAUAUACUUUGAGAUAGAUUGAUGGAUCAAUUGUAAAAAGAGGUGGCAAUGUUUUCGGUAGGUGUAGUAGUCCAGUAGCAAUCUCAUUUAUUACUCUAGUACCAUUUUUCUUCUUCUUCCGGGUUGUGUAAGUUCACCCACUCAUCUUUCCUUCUUCACCACUUGCACAAAUAUUUGAGGAAGAAUUAAACCACUUGAGGGCAAAUACUUUAAAGGGUAAUCCAAAGGGUCGAAGAGCGGGCGAUCGACGAUAUAUUCUAAGAUCUCAUCGGUUUAUGGCCAUCGAGUCGGCCAUGAACGGAGAAGAGAGCAGGGGCGACGGCCACGAGAACGACCUCGUGAUGCCGGGCUUCCGGUUCCAUCCUACCGAAGAAGAGCUAAUUGAUUUCUACCUUCGGCGGAAGGUCGAGGGUAAACGCUUUAACGUGGAGCUCAUCACCUUCCUCGAUCUCUAUAGCUACGACCCGUGGGAACUUCCGGGUUUGAUCCCUCUCCCUUCUUUCCUCAACCUCUUCCACUCCUAAUUAGUUCGGAUGCAUAUAUAAGACCUGAAGUAGCUCUUUGCAUGCUGUGAAUUUAAUUCAACUUAGUUGAUCCUUUUUUCGGCAAUCUAAUUCUUUUACAACAUGAACUUGUUUUAAUUUUCAGCAUUGGCAAUAAUUGGAGAUAAGGAGUGGUUCUUUUAUGUUCCUAGAGAUCGAAAGUACAGGAACGGCGAUCGACCCAACCGAGUCACUCCGACGGGUUAUUGGAAGGCGACUGGGGCCGAUCGGAUGAUUCGAGCCGAAAAUAAUCGGCAAGUUGGAUUGAAAAAGACCCUUGUUUUCUACUCUGGGAAAGCCCCUAAGGGUAUCAGGAGCACCUGGAUCAUGAAUGAGUACCGUUUGCCAAAGAGCGAAACAGAUCUGUAUCAGAAGGUAAAUCUUGUCAUUAUAUAGUCCUCUAAUAUCAGGUCUGAGUUUUUAAGGUAGAAGAAAUUGGAACUCUAGGGUUUUUGGUAUCUCUAGUUGAUGAGUAUAAGAUCUAAAGUAAGAAUAUGAUUCAUGAUAAAAUAGCAAUUAAUUAAACAAGUUUUCUGAGACAUCUUUCCAUUCUUAUUUUGCCACAUGUUUAUCUCUUCUAUCUUUUGUUAAUCUUUUGCACAAACAUGUGCUGCCACUUAAUUUGUUAAAAGAUACUGGAUUUGUUGGAAAAAUAUACUGCACAAGAGAAGCUGAGAUUUUCCGUGAUCUUUCUCCUAGGUUCUGCAUACUUGUAUGGUUACUUUUAGUUUAGUAACUAGGGUUUGGUAUAGAAUUAAUAUAUUUCAGUCCCUGCCAUAUAAAAAAUCCUCUUUAAAAAUAAAGUGACUCCACAUGUGUUCCUGUUGCACUUCUUUUAUUCCUUGAUCUAAUUACGAGAAAAAGCAGCAUAUAUAUGGCAUGCAUCUCUACCUUUUUCCUUUAUGUCUCCCUUCCCUUUCCUCUUUGCUUCUUUUGCCCCAAAAUAUCUUUCAAUUUGUAUCGAUGAAUUCCACAGUUUACGCAUGAUUUCUUCUUCGUUCUACUUAAUUUUAGAUUGAACUUUUCCUCCUUGAUCCCUCUCUUGUACUCCUUAAUUAUGAUUGUAGCUUUCUCCUCUUUUGAAGAAUUCUUAUGUUAUAUAUACUUGUAUUAUGUUAUUCAGAAACUUUCUCCUCUAAUUAGUAUUAUCCUUGUUAUCUUCUUUUUAGAUCUAUCAAUUAUCUAUCCUUUUUGAAGGAUCUCUCUUACUUCUUCUUUCUAAAUCUCCUUGUGUUAUUCUCCUUAUGUGAAUUCCAUCAUGUUUAAUACACUAGCAAAUUGAAUUGCUCCUUAAUUUCACAUCUUAAUACUUGUUGAGCCUGAUUCUUCUAGUUCUUUUCAUUGAAGAAACAAGUGAUCAAUUCCUUAUUAGCAGGCCGAAAUUUCGCUAUGCCGAGUCUACAAGAGAUCCGGGAACGACGACUACUCCCAGCUCACUAGCACACUCUCUGCAAAGGCAUCUACCUCUCGAGGGAGCCUAGCCAAUAGAAAGCACCUCACAUCUCACCAUCAAGUUGUGAAUUUCGCGAUACAUGAUCAAGGUGAAAAUUCAUCGCUAAAAAUCCCCGAGAUUGCUGUGGGAAGCAAAACCAACUUGCCAACAUCUAUGCUACCAAAACCAAAAGUCUACAGAUCGACGGCCUCAGUUGCUUCAUUGAGCUCAACUACCACGACUGAAGAAGAUGGCCUUUCCUUCUACCAUUCGACGAACACGAGCGGUUUAAUCCCUCCAUACUCCCUCCUCAAUUUAUCCACUUCUACAAUGACCUCAACUCCAAUUGAUGAGCUAAAUAAGAUAGUUGGAUACGAUCAAACAUACAACAACCAACCCAACCAUUUCCAUUCAUUGACACCGCAAUCUCAGUUGCUUCCAUUUAAUUCGCUGCCUGUAUCGUUCUCGACCGUUUCAGAUAAGCUUUGGGACUGGAACCCUCUUCCGGAUGUUGGGAGGGACUAUACUAGUUUUAAGUGAUUAUCAACAAGUACCAUGAAUUAUAUAUAUAUAUAUAUAUAUAUAUGCACCUAUUAAUGGCCUCCAUUUUUAGGAUGUAUGUCUAGUAUUAUUAAAGAUUGUGCUAGUGUGUUUAAGAACUCAAGAUUGUAAUUGCAUUAACCUUUUAUGAACUUACAAUAUAGCUAGUGAUAUUUCUAUUGUUAAGCUGAACAACUUUGAAAUUUUAGUCAUGUUUCACUUAGGUUCUUGAACUUAAUUUUAACUUUUAUAUUCAACAUCCCAAACUUUCAAGUGNUAAUAAUAAUAAUAAUAAUGGUGACCUACUGCAGUCACAUGACUCCCAUGCAUGCGUGAAUGAUAAUUCUCAACCAAUUCUCUAUACUUCCACAACAGAAUCUCUGCAGGUCUUCCACCAAUCAUGGAAUCAUUAUUUCAUGCAUGCUCAGAAGGUCAAACAUAUAUUACCAUCCAAAACUGUUCAGAAGGUCAAAACAUGAACAUCCAAAACAAUAAUUAAUAUUCCCAAGUGCAAGCCAGCAGAAAGGGUCAAUUAAUAUUGCACUAUAUAUGUACUUUACUUGGUCCUCCAGUUUAUAGCUUCAAUAUUGAUAAACACUCUAAUUUCAAAAUGUUUCAAUUUAUAGUUCCUGCUAUGAACUUUUUGUUAUGACAAGACUAACUGCUUGUCUCUGCUGUGCUAAAUGUUUAUGCAUGCACCACGAAUUCAUUAGUCUUCCAUGCGUCCAUCUCAUACUUUAUGAAUCCAAGCAUCAAACCAAAAACAAAAGGCUGUUGAUUUGAUGAUGUGAUUGAAAAUAUGAGAUAGGAUUAAUGACCAAUAGAUGUGUAAUGCAUCUACAUAUAUAAAUAUAUAUAUAAUCCGGCUGGGAUACUAUCGAUCGAUAGCACCAAGAAUUUGGUGCUAUCGAGUUUUUCACUGUUAGAUUUAACCCUUUGAUUAUUUUUAUCCAUUAGAUUAUACUAUUCAACCAUGCAACCACUCACUAAACCCUAGAGAGCCCACAUCAUUCUAACCAUACAUUUCUCAAUCCAAGGGCUAAAAAUCUAAUAGCACAAAUAGUUUCGUACUAUUGAUAGUAUUCCAACCUAGUUAUAUAUAUAUAUAUAUAUAUAUAUAUAUAUAGAGCUAGGCUGGUAUACUAUCGGUAGUACGGAGGCCUCCGUGCUACCAAGUUGUUUUCAAUGAUGCGGCUUCCAAAUCGACGAUCGGUUUUGUUAGACUUGAUCUACACUAUUGAAAGUAUUUGGAAAUUAAAUUUUAUAAUUUUUUGACAUCAUUUGGCUAGUGAUUAAAAGGUUUCAAAAUUGAUAAUUUUAAUGGUAGAUUUGAUGUGUUUGUGAAUUUAACGGUGUAAAACAAUCCAAAUUUGAUGAAAUUUUUAUAGAAUUUUUUUUUCACUAUUUAGAGUAAGAUCAGUAUCUCUGAUUUUAAAUUCAAGUCUUUUAUCAUCAUUUUUUAUGAGAUUUUUAUUUUCAGUCGUUCAUUUUUAGACUACUUGUUUGAUAGGUAAAUGAUGUCGAAAAAUUAUGAAAUUUAGUUUUCAAAUACUUUCAAUAGUGUAGAUUAAGUCUAACGGAGCCGAUCGUCGAUUUGGAAGCCGCAUCAUUGAAAAUAACUUGGUAGCAUGGAGGCUUCCGUGCUACCGAUAGUAUACCAGCCGGACUAUAUAUAUAUAUAUAUAUAUAUAUAUAUAUAUAACUAGGUUGGAAUACUAUCAAUAGUACGAAACUAUUUGUGCUAUUAGAUUUUUAGCCCUUGGAUUGAGAAAUGUAUGGUUAGAAUGAUGUGGGCUCUCUAGGGUUUAGUGAGUGGUUGCAUGGUUGAAUAGUAUAAUCUAAUGGAUAAAAAUAAUCAAAGGGUUAAAUCUAACAGUGAAAAACUCGAUAGCACCAAAUUCUUGGUGCUAUCGAUCGAUAGUAUCCCAGCCGGAUUAUAUAUAUAUUUAUAUAUGUAGAUGCAUUACACAUCUAUUGGUCAUUAAUCCUAUCUCAUAUUUUCAAUCACAUCAUCAAAUCAACAGCCUUUUGUUUUUGGUUUGAUGCUUGGAUUCAUAAAGUAUGAGAUGGACGCAUGGAAGACUAAUGAAUUCGUGGUGCAUGCAUAAACAUUUAGCACAGCAGAGACAAGCAGUUAGUCUUGUCAUAACAAAAAGUUCAUAGCAGGAACUAUAAAUUGAAACAUUUUGAAAUUAGAGUGUUUAUCAAUAUUGAAGCUAUAAACUGGAGGACCAAGUAAAGUACAUAUAUAGUGCAAUAUUAAUUGACCCUUUCUGCUGGCUUGCACUUGGGAAUAUUAAUUAUUGUUUUGGAUGUUCAUGUUUUGACCUUCUGAACAGUUUUGGAUGGUAAUAUAUGUUUGACCUUCUGAGCAUGCAUGAAAUAAUGAUUCCAUGAUUGGUGGAAGACCUGCAGAGAUUCUGUUGUGGAAGUAUAGAGAAUUGGUUGAGAAUUAUCAUUCACGCAUGCAUGGGAGUCAUGUGACUGCAGUAGGUCACCAUUAUUAUUAUUAUUAUUAUUUUUAUUAUUUUUAUUAUUUUUAUAUAUACAGAUAUAUGUUGUCAUUUGUUUGCAUGGGCUACUGAGACAAAACUAAGUGAUCUGUACUCUGUCUCUUUGUUAUAUACGGCAGUACAUGUUUGAGACAAAACUUGAAAGAUAUAGCAGAUAUGUAGUACUGGAGCUGACCUUGCACUUUCCAAAACAAUUUGCAUUAUAUAUAGUUAACUAACUUUUUUGGUGAAUAAUGCAGCAGAUAAGCUUCAUCUUUAGCUGUGACACUGUUAGAAUUUAAAAUAUUCCUACAUAUAUAUAACGUAUAAUAUGACUAAAUAUUUUAACCUAACUAGAAAAUUUUGGGUGUUUGCUAAGCCAAGAGGUUAAGAAAGUUAAGUGCAUUGAAAAGUACUUUAUUUUACUCCUUGUCUUUAUAAUCUAGUGAUUAUACCUACAUUGCCUACAUUUGGUGUGUCCAUAUAAUUAUCAUGCACCAUGUAUACAUCCAUCGACAUUCCAUCCAAUAUUUCAAACCCUAUCGCCAUUGAGUUGCAGCUUUUUAUCUACUUAGAAUUGGAUGAUGGGAUUGAGUGUAUGAUAUGGAUUAAAUUAAAGACGAUGAAUCCAUCGUGAAUGGGCGUAUAGAUGUACAGAUGUAAGCAAUUUUUUUCCAGAAAAUUAGAUCAUGAUAUAAUAUGGACUAAAGUAAAGCACUUUUAAAAGUUUGCGGUAUCGAAUGGCGAACUUGUUAUAUAUAUAUAUAGAUUAUGAUUCAUGUCCAGUAACUUAAAUUUUGGUUAUAGGAUUUCCAUAGUUCAACUUUAUAUUUGUGUAAAAGUAUGAAAAACUUAUAACAGAAAUCCACACAACGCUAGAAUAAUUUUAUUCUGUUGUAUAUAUCAAUUUAGUUAUAUCAAAAAUUAAAUUAUUGCAAAAUAUAUUUUAUUGCAAUAGUUUGUGUCGUUGUGAUGAUGCAAAUCAUAUUAUUAAAGCAUAUAUAUAACAAGAUUUAUAGCAAGGAUUUGCAACAUUCUACUGCAACCAAUAGUUAUCAAUUGCAAUAGUAUUUAUUGUUGAAAAAUAACGAAUUUCUAGUAGUGCACUUAUGGUUAAAAAUUUCUACAGCCCUUUCACUACAACAGAAUUAGGUUAUAGGGACACAAGUUUGGGACACUUUUGAGUAAGUGUCCUAUUUAUCCUAAAACUUAAAAAAAACAUCUACUAAUGCCUAAAUAUAAAGCCCAAUCAAACCAAAAAUAAAAGAUUACUCUACUCAACUCACCACACCCAGUCCAUUUGGCCCGAUUACAAACAGAAAAGAAAAAAAAAAGAAAAAUCAAUUACCAUCUUUUCUUCUCUCUUCACUCAAUCCACUGAAAUUCUAGACAAAGAGCAUUUCCUGUCGUCCUCCUCCGCCACCGCAGCCAACGAGAUAGAGUUUCGAUGGUUGCUAAAUGCUUAAAUAAGUGUUGGUAAAUUAGCAGCACUCUUUUAGGUUAUAGCGACACUCUUUAACUGUCACUAUAUACCUAGCGACCCCACAUAUAGCAACACUUUUUAAAAGUGUCGGUAAUUUUAGCUAGCAGCACUUUUUUGACAUGUACCUACAUUUAAAAGUAUCACUAUAGACCGUUUUUGUUGUAGUGUUUCAAUCACUAGUUAAAAUAUAAUAUCGAAAAGUUGCGAAAUUUAUUUUUUAGAUAUUUCAAAUACUCUAAACCAAGUUUAAUGAAGUUAAUCAUCAAUUCCAUCAUCGAAAAACAAACUUUGGAGCACGGAGGUCUCCGUGCUUCUAAAUUCUAGUAAGCCUCUCUAACAUGGUAUCAUAGCGGACGGUUUGAAAUUUUUUGUGAUGCACAUAAAAUUAGGAGUAUGGAUUUGGCACAUGGAAAUCCUAAUUAGUUUUUUAACUAACGGAGAUUAUUCGGAGACGUGAGUUUGUGUUAGUAUAGAUUGUAAUGUUAAAAGUACUAAUGAAAGUUAGAAAAUUAUUUAAAAAUUAAAAUGAUUAAAUGGUUGUAUUUUUUUCACAAGAUUAAUUACUGAUAAGAAAAGAUAUGUCUUUUUAUUGCAAAAAAAUGUGCCCUUUUCAUGGAAAAAUAUGUCUCUUGAUGGAGAGUUGUAUCUCUUUAGUAUUUAUGAAAGGAUGUGUCUCUUCAAUAUUUGUGAAAAGAGUGUGUCUCUUCAAUAUUUACAAAAGAAUGUGUGUUUUUGUUAUAAAGAGACGUGAAUACUAAGGAUGGAGUGUGUCCUUUCACCGUAAUCAGUUAUGUACAUCCUAUAAGUAUAGGGUGUUUGAAGUCUUCAAAGGUAAUAAGGCAAAUCCUUUCUUCUUUCUAAUAUUUCACACUAAUUUUUUAAAAAGUUCUUGAGAGAAAAUCUUCAAGUGUAUUAUGUGCACGCUUUUGGAGGUCUUAUCGUACCCUGGAGAUGAAUUCCUUUAAUUCGACAGCGCAUGCAGUUUCAAGUGGAGCAAAUAUUACCUUAAAGAAAGUGUUGAUAUACGUCUCAAGACUAUAAUAAACUUGAUUUACAUUUACUCUCCCUAACAGUUUGAUGCAUGGAUUCUAAUUAGAAAAGGUGCAAAAAAGAAAAGGAAAGAAGAAAAAAGGGAAAAAAGGCAUAUGAAGAGCAUGUACUUGAUAAAGAGAAAUGCUGAGUCUACAACUUGUAAUCUUUACCACCCUUAAUCCAAUAGUUUAAAGGUUUAAUUAAUCAAAUCCUUUUUGUAUUUUAAUUUCAAAAAAAUGAUAAAAUUAGUGUAGUAAUUUUUGAGAAAUAGGUAGCACGCUAUCCGCUUUGUUUAUUUUAUUUAGAAAUAAACUUGGCUGGAAAUGUGAAUCAAUUAGAAUUCGAACUUGGGUCUCGGGUACCAACCAUCAAGUCCUUUGCAACUAGGAUUGUAGACCUAACAUUGCCCUUCAAUAAAAGCUAAUAGCGUUUUGUUGUAGAGGAUUAGUUUUAAGGACAAGCUAGCUAACAUGUGAAAGGAAAAGAUUGUUAGAAAUUGCAUGCAUGUUAAGAAAUAGUGUCACAAGAAACAAAAAUCAACAAAAAAAAAAAGAAAGAUAAUUGAUAUCUAGCUAGUACUAUGUUCAGAACAAAUGGGUCUUAAUAAAUAUGUCACAUCUUUGAGCUUAUACAAGCUUAGAUUAGCAUAAUUACACUGAAUGUAAAAUGAGAUCUUCGGCUCCAAAAACAAAAACUUAGGGAUUAAUUAAGCUGGAAGCUCUCAAUUUUUUUUUUCUUUCUUGCUUCUAUUUUUGCUAGUGCAGUAGAAAAAAGUAGUAAAAAAAGGAAUAAUAUUGCUAGUGCCUUUUGGAGCAGCAUAUUCAAACAAGCAUGCAUGUAUACAUGUGGCUUCAAAUAGGCUAAACAAGCAGCUCUUUGGACACUAGAGAUUGGACAAAAUGAACUCCAAAGAAAAAAUUAAUUAUGAAACCAUAACUGCUAGGUUAAUUUGCUAUGGGUACUUUUGAAAAUCCCCUAAGAGAUCAUUUGAUAUAUAUGCUAAGUAUCAUACAAUUAAAGUUCAUUGAUUGGUUCAUACAAGCAUCCCUGAGACACCAUCACAGUGUUUUUGGGGGGCUAGAUGAGGGGUAACAUAAACAUUACUCUUAAAAGAAAAAAAAAAAAAGAAGAAAAAAAAAAAAGAAGAAGUAAUGCAUGCUCUUGUAUAUAAGCUGUUUCUGUGUUGGUAUCCAUGGUAUGGAAAAUUUUCAUUACUUAAUGCGUACAGUUAAAAAAUACAAUAUUAUUAUUUACCAACACAUUAAUAAACUAUGUGUAAAAAAUUUAAAGGUAUUAAAUAUGCCCUGCCACAGAUCUUCAAAAUAUUGUCAUUAUAGUUUGUUGAUCUAUUGCUACACAUAUACUAUAAUCUUUAAUUAAUUUGCGCAGAUAGUGUAAAGCACCAUUCCAAGAUAUCAACAUUUUGUUGGAGAAAUAAUUUUAGUGGCCAUUCCUCCGAUUGAGAUCGCCAAAUACACUGCCCACCACAUAUAGAACUCAAACCGUAUAGGGCUCAAAUCUCAAAGCAAUACUAGACUAGUGGAUUGUGGCAAUCUCGAAACAUUUUGUUUAACCAGGUUAAAUUGCAUUGUUGGUUCUCAAACUAUGAGACGCGUGACACUUUAGUUCUCGAAUUUUAAUUUAUUAUAAUUUUGGCCUAAAAUUUUGUGAAUUAAUGGUUGCAAUCAAUUCUCAUAGUGCAAUUUAGUUAACUCAAUACAAAACAGUGAUGUGGCGUUAACGUGACUGUAAGAUAGUAAUAUUAUAAUUGAUGAUUAAUUUGGAAAUAAUUAAAAGGUUAUAUAACUAUUAUAUUAUCGACGUAUCAUUAUUCAGCGAAUAAAUUUGCACCGUAAAACUUGAAUGCACCAAUAGAGAAAAUUCGAAUUAAUAUUUGAUGAUGAAAACGUCAAGUCACUCCUUGUUUUUGAAUGCAAAAAGUACAGUCUAGCAUUGUUUCCUCUCCAUUGAAUUCCUGCGGUGGACAGACAGCCGGUACUAACUGACUUGCGAAGAUGCCGUCCGCAGGCAGCAGUUGAAGCAAAAGGCCGUCGGUCAGGUCGGCGUCCCACCCGCCGCGCGGUUUUAAUUGACAUGAAAGAAGAUGGGGCCCACGUACUACUUUGACCGUUGACCGUGAAUGUUCGUCGCACGCGUUGACCGUUCGUUGACCGAUGGAAAGGUCUAAAAAGUAUUUUCAAACCAAUUGAGUUAUUUUCCAGAGAUCCACAAGUCCAAUCAUGAUUUUCUAAAAUUAUUUUUAUUAUAUUAUAUUUAAUAAAAAUAUUUAAUUGGCUUGUAAAAAAAAUAAUGUGAUGUAGUUGUUAGUUGUUACACUGAUGACCACCUCACUGACGCGAGGAAUUCUAUAUUAUCACACUUACACCACGUCAUUAAUAACAAGUCAAUUAUAUUUCUUUUUUUCAAACAAAAGUACAAUAAAAAUAUUUUUUUAUAAUCAUGAUAGGAUAUAUACCCCUAAAAAAAAAUAUUUGAUUGAUUUAUUACGUCAGGUUACCAAUAUAGCCGUUGCAUUAUAAAAUUUUUCUACUUACACGCGGCUAGCUUUACGUGACUGGCACGUGCAGAGACAACAGUUGCUUUAAUUAAUUUGUAUCUUUUGGGCCUUGGGCUCCGUUUGGUAAAUUUAUUGGGCCUCUACACUAUAAACGCCGUGUUAUGGGUGCAUGUUUGUGGCUCUUAAAUUUUCUAUUUUCUCUGUUUUUAAGAAGCAUGUAGAUUUACUCAGCGCGCCCUUUAAUUAGAGUAACGUUAGAGGAAGAAGGUGUACACGCAACAACUGACUAUCUUAAUUAGUGGUGGUUUAUACUAUAUAUUAGAGGAUUCCAUUGUGGGGCGACUCCUAUAAUUACGUUAUAUUUUAGAUACUUUAAUUUGUUGAAUGAUUAGAACAUGCUGUUACUUUAUGUUCUUAUUUAUAAUAUAGUAUUUGCCAAUUUUUUUAAAAAAAAUAUAGUUUAUGCACGAGUGGAACGUGUGUAUAUAUAUAUAGUCCGGCUACUAUGCUAUCGAUAGUAACAAGUCCUUGGUACUUUGGAGUUUUUUACCGUUAAAUCUACCCUUUUAUCAUUUUCAUCCGUUAAAUUAUACUAUUAAACCAACCACUCACUCAACCCUAAGGGACCACUAUCAAUUUAACCGGGGACCACUAUCACCCUAACCGCACAUCCUGUCAUCCAACGGUCGAAAACUCAAUUGUACCAAGGGCUUGGUACUAUUGAUAGUAUAGUAGUAUAAUUCUAUAUAUAUAGAGAGAGAGAGAGAUCGAGUUGAGCUAGAAUACUCUCAAAAGCACCAUGAAGGUGGUGCUUUUAAGUUUUUAGCCAUUGGAUGAAGAGAUAUGAGGUUGAGAUGAUGGUGAUAGGUGGUCGUAGGUGGAAUAGUGUUUGAUCUAAAGGCUAUUAGUAAUCAAGAAGUAGAUCCAAGAGCUAGAAACUUAGAAGCACCAAGGGGUUGGUGCUUCUAAAAGUAUUCUAGCUCAAUUAUAUAUAUAUAUAUAUAUAUAUAUAUAUAGNAUCAAAUAUACCAUGCCGCAUGUCUCCAAAGUAUUGUCAUUAUAGUUUGUUGAUCUGUUGCUAUGCAUAUACUAUAAUCUUUAAUUAAUUUGCGCAGAUAGUGUAAAGCACCAUUCCAAAAUAUCAACAUUUUGUAGGAGAAAUAAUUUUAGUGGCCAUUUCUCCGAUUGAGAUCGCCAAAUACACUGCCCACCACAUAAAGAACUCAAACCAUAUAGGGCUCAAAUCUCAAAGCAAUACUAGACUAGGGGAUUGCGGUAAUCUCAAAUUAUGAGAAGCGUGACACUUUAGUUCUCGAAUUUUAAUUUAUUAUAAUAUUUUGGCCUAAAAUUUUCUAGAUUAAUGAUUCCAAUCAACUCUCAAAGUGCAAUUUAGUUAACUCAAUACUAAAUAGCGAUGUGGCGUUAACGUGACUGUAAGAUAGUAAUAUUAUAAUUGAUGAUUAAUUUGGAAAUAAUUAAAAGGUUAUAUUACUAUUAUAUUAUCGACGUAUCGUUAUUCAGCGAAUAAAUUUGCACAGUAAAACUUGAAUGCACCAAUAGAGAAAAUUCGAAUUGAUAUUUGAUGAUGAAAAACGUCAAGUCACUCCUUGUUUUUGAAUACAAAAAGUACAGUCUAGCAUUGUUUCCUCUCCAUUGAAUUCCUGCGGUGGACAGACAGCCGGUACUAACUGACUUGCGAAGAUGCCGUCCGCAGGCAGCAGUUGAAGCAAAAGGCGGUCGGUCAGGCCGGCGUCCCACCCGCCGCGCGGUUUUAAUUGACAUGAAAGAAGAUGGGGCCCACGUACUACUUUGACCGUUGACCGUGAAUGUUCGUCGCACGCGUUGACCGAUCGUUGACCGAUGGAAAGGUCUAAAAGUAUUUUCAAACCAAUUGAGUUAUUUUCCAGAGAUCCACAUGUCCAAUCAUGAUUUUUUAAAAUUAUUUUUAUUAUAUUAUAUUUAAUAAAAAUAUUUAAUUGGCUUGUAAAAAAAAUAAUGUGAUGUAGUUGUUAGUUGUUACACUGAUGAUCACCUCACUUACGCGAUGAAUUCUACACUAUCACACUUACGCCACAUCAUCAAUAACAAGUCAAUUACACUCCUUUUUUUUCAAAUAAAAGUACAACAAAAAUAUUUUUUUACAAUCACGAUGGGACAUAUACUACUAAAAAAAAAUAUUUGAUUAAUUUGUUAUGCCACGUUACCAAUAUAGCCGUUGCAUUAUAAAAUUUUUCUACUGACACGCGGCUAGCUUUACGUGACUGGCACGUGCAGAGACAACAGUUGCUUUAGUUUGUAUCUUUUGGGCCUUGGGCUCCGUUUAGGUAAAUUUAUUGGGCCUCUACACUUUAAAUGCCGUGUUAUGGGUGCAUGUUUGUGCCUCUUAAAUUUUCUAUUUUCUCUGUUUUUAAGAUGCAUGUAGAUUUACUCAGCGCACCCUUAAUUAGAGUAACGUUAGAGGAAGAAGGUGUACACGCAACAACUGACUAUCUUAAUUAGUGGUGGUUUAUACUGUAUAUUAGAGGAUUCCAUUGUGGGGCGACUCCUAUAAUUACGUUAUAUUUUAGAUACUUUAAUUUGUUGAAUGAUUAGAACAUGCUGUUACUUUAUGUUCUUAUUUAUAAUAGAGUAUUUGCCAAUUUUUUUUAAAAAAAUAUAGUUUAUGCACGAGUGGAACGUGUGUAUAUAUAUAUAUAUAGUCCGGCUACUAUACUAUCGAUAGCAACAAGCCCUUGAUACUUUUGAGUUUUUUACUGCUAAAUCUACCCUUUGAUCAUUUCCAUCCGUUAGAUUAUACUAUUAAACCAACCACUCAUUCAACCCUAAGGGACCACUAUCAAUUUAAACGGAGACCACUAUCACCCUAACCGCACAUCCUUUCAUCCAACAGCCGAAAACUCAAUUGUACCAAGGGCUUAGUACUAUUGAUAGUAUAAUAGUAUAAUUCUACAUAUAUAUAUAAAGAGAGAGAGUUGAGCUAGAAUACUCUCAAAAGCACAAUGAAGGUGGUGCUUUUGAGUUUUUAGCCAUUNAAGAGUAUAGAUCUUGUUUUAAAUAGUUUUAAAAAUUUUUUAACAAAAAUUCAAUUGAUUUGGAUAUUUUUACGCCGUUAAACGAGAAAACGCCUCAUAUCGACCAUUAAAAUUACAAAUUUUGAAACCCUUUGAUUAUUAGGCAAAUAAUGUCAAAAAGAUUUGAAAAUUGAUUUCUCAAUACUUCAAGUGGUAUAGAUUAUGUUCAACGGUGCCGAUUGUCGAUUUGGAGGCUCUAUCAUGGAAAACAAAUGGGUGGCAACGGAGUCCGUUUGCUAUCAAUAGUAUUCUAGCUCAACUCUAUAUAUAUAUACAUAUAUGUAUAUGUAUGUACGUAUGUAUAAUUAUCUGCGAAUGGCAUGGGUAUAAAUAUGUAUACAUGUAUAUAUAUAUAUAUAUAUAUAUAUAUAUAUAUAUAUAUAUAUAUAUAUAUAUAUAUAUAUAUAUAUAUAUAUAUANNNNNNNNNNNNNNNNNNNNNNNNNNNNNNNNNNNNNNNNNNNNNNNNNNNNNNNNNNNNNNNNNNNNNNNNNNNNNNNNNNNNNNNNNNNNNNNNNNNNNNNNNNNNNNNNNNNNNNNNNNNNNNNNNNNNNNNNNNNNNNNNNNNNNNNNNNNNNNNNNNNNNNNNNNNNNNNNNNNNNNNNNNNNNNNNNNNNNNNNNNNNNNNNNNNNNNNNNNNNNNNNNNNNNNNNNNNNNNNNNNNNNNNNNNNNNNNNNNNNNNNNNNNNNNNNNNNNNNNNNNNNNNNNNNNNNNNNNNNNNNNNNNNNNNNNNNNNNNNNNNNNNNNNNNNNNNNNNNNNNNNNNNNNNNNNNNNNNNNNNNNNNNNNNNNNNNNNNNNNNNNNNNNNNNNNNNNNNNNNNNNNNNNNNNNNNNNNNNNNNNNNNNNNNNNNNNNNNNNNNNNNNNNNNNNNNNNNNNNNNNNNNNNNNNNNNNNNNNNNNNNNNNNNNNNNNNNNNNNNNNNNNNNNNNNNNNNNNNNNNNNNNNNNNNNNNNNNNNNNNNNNNNNNNNNNNNNNNNNNNNNNNNNNNNNNNNNNNNNNNNNNNNNNNNNNNNNNNNNNNNNNNNNNNNNNNNNNNNNNNNNNNNNNNNNNNNNNNNNNNNNNNNNNNNNNNNNNNNNNNNNNNNNNNNNNNNNNNNNNNNNNNNNNNNNNNNNNNNNNNNNNNNNNNNNNNNNNNNNNNNNNNNNNNNNNNNNNNNNNNNNNNNNNNNNNNNNNNNNNNNNNNNNNNNNNNNNNNNNNNNNNNNNNNNNNNNNNNNNNNNNNNNNNNNNNNNNNNNNNNNNNNNNNNNNNNNNNNNNNNNNNNNNNNNNNNNNNNNNNNNNNNNNNNNNNNNNNNNNNNNNNNNNNNNNNNNNNNNNNNNNNNNNNNNNNNNNNNNNNNNNNNNNNNNNNNNNNNNNNNNNNNNNNNNNNNNNNNNNNNNNNNNNNNNNNNNNNNNNNNNNNNNNNNNNNNNNNNNNNNNNNNNNNNNNNNNNNNNNNNNNNNNNNNNNNNNNNNNNNNNNNNNNNNNNUUUUGUUAGAAAAUUCUUUAAACUAUUUAAAACAAGAUCUAUACUCUUGAUCUUGAUUACAAGACUCCUAUCAUCAUUUUUUAAAGAAUAUUCAUUUUCAGCCAUUCAUUUUUCUGUUCACUUGAUGGAUAAAAGAACAAUAUCGAAAAUGCGUGAAAUUUGAUUUCUAGGUAGUUUAAAUGGUUUAGAUCAUAUUUAACGGAGCCGAUCGUCAAUUUGGAAGCUCUAUCAUCGAAAACAAAUCGGUAGUAAAACGGCUCGUUUACUACCGAUAGUAUUCUAGCUCAACUAUAUAUAUAUAUAUAUGUACAGAGUCCGGCUAUUAUACUCUUAUGAGUACGAUCGCAUUCGUACUCGUAAGUUGUUUUCGAUGAUAGAGCUUCCGAAUCGACGAUCCAGAUCGUUAAACAUUAUCUAGAGUAUUUAAAACUUCUAGAUAAAGAUCGGAAUAGUUUGAAUUUUUGAUAGAAAAUUAUAUUCAUUACCUAGAUAAAGAUCAAUAACCCCGAUCUUAAAUUGAAGAAUCCGAUCAUCCAUUUUUAGGACGUCAUUCGAUUUUGACCAUUCAUUUAUAUCCGCUUGAUGGACUUUAUAAUGAUUUCAAAAAAUUAUAUAUUUUAUUUUUUAAAAGUUUCAAAUACUCUAGAUCAUGUUUAACUGUAUUGAUCGUCUAUUCGGAAGCUCCAAGAUCAAAAACAACUUAUGAGUACGAAGGCUCUAUACUCGUAAAAGUAUAGUAGCCCUACUAUACAUAUACAUAUAUGUACAUACAUAUAUAUGUAUAUGUACGUAUGUAUGUAUGUAUGUAUAAUUAUCUUGGGAUCGCAUGGGUAUAAAUAUGUAUAUAUGUAUAUACAUAUAUACACACAUAUAUAUAUAUGGAGCAGGACCGCUGUGCUCUCAGGAGCACGGCCUUCGUGCUCCUGAGCCGUUUUUAAUGAUGGAAUUUUCGACGAUCGGCUCCGUUAGAUUUGAUCUAGCGUAUUUGAAGUUUCUACAAAAUAAUUUUUGCAAUUUUUCAAUAUCAUUUACCUAACAAUCGAAAAGAUUUAAAAUCAAAUAUUUUUAACGACUGAAAAUAAAAAUUCUAUAAAAAGUGGUGACAUAGCACUAAAAUUUUCGAUCAGAAAUAUUGAUCUUGUUGUAAAUAGUAUAAAGAAUUUUAUAUCAAAUUUCAUCUGAUUUGAAUAGUUCUACACCGUUAAACUUAAAAACGGCAGAUAUCAACCGUUAAAAAUUAUAGAUUUUGAAUCCUUUCGAUCACUGGGUAAAUGAUAUCAAAAAAUCGCAAAAAUUAUUUUCUAGAAACUUCAAAUGCGCUAGAUCAAGUCUAACGGAGCCGAUCGUCGAUUCGAAAAUUCCAUCAUCGAAAACGGCUCAGGAGCCCAGAAGCCUCCGUGCUCCUGAGAGCACAGCAGCCCUACUCUAUAUAUAUGUAUAUACAUUUACAUAUGUACAUUCAUAUAAUUAUCUGCGGAUCGCAUGGGUAUAAAUUAAAGCUUGAUAAAAUAAAGAAAAAAAAUGCAAGAAUACAAAGUGUAGAACUUUAACCCACAGAAAAGCAAAAUGCAAAUAAAACAUACUGCAAUACCAUAGUGAGAUAAUUCUCUUUAAAAAUAUUCUAAAAAAUUGGUCGUUAAUUUCAUUUGAUUGGAUCAAAAGAAUAACUUAAAAUGUAUAUUGAUCGAUCACCUCCUCGCCCCGUCCUGUUAAGACUUGUUUGGUCCUAUUACAGAGUACAGUACUAUUUGAUAAAAUAUUACUUAAUAAUAAUAUUAAAAGAAAUAUUAUAUAAUUAUAACAUUUUUUUUUAAAUCAAACGUAUUGAAUUAGAGCUCGUGCUUCUAAUAUUCAAGUUCUCAUUUUUAUUUCUCACUGCAGCAGAUGCUAAAAAAAUUAUGUUUUAUAAAAGCAGAACUGAAAGUUUAGGCACCCGAUCGAGAGGAAUUGUUGUACCAAAUUUUCCCUGCUCACGUGGCAUGCACGAAACUAACGUGUCACAAGCUAAUUUAUUACGUGAGAGAUGAGACACUUCCCAAUGCAUGUUAUUAAUUACGUAAUUUUCAUGCAUAUUUACACCACUAGCACUUACUAAAAUUAUCACCAAAAGCCAUAUUAAUUUGACAAACACUGCAUCAAUUUGGUGUUAUCAUGUGGUGUGUCCACAUUAGUUCAUUUAAAUUCAACUAAUCCAUAUAAGAUGUGGAUUAUGAUUUAUUCUAAUAAAUUAAAAGUAAAGAUGAAUUAUAUAUUUUUUAUUUGUAAUUAGGAAACAAAUUUUCUGUAUAUUUUUUUCUCCGACAAUAUUCUGCAACACGUACCGGCAAAAAGCUGAUCCUAGGGUUUUCGAGUGCGAACUUCACACCCGACAAUCCGCAACACGUGGGAGAAGGCGAGAUACGUGAAGUAUUGAGAACUAGUAAAAUAAGCAAUCCGAUUUGUUUUUAGUUCCAGAAUACGUUGGCUAUCCAGUUUGUAAGUUUCCGUUGCCUUCUAAUUCCAACAAUUAGUUUCAGAGCUGUUUUUGCCUGUGAUGCAACUAGUAAAAUAAGCAACCCGAUCUGUUUUUGGUUUCAUAAUAUGUUGACUAUCCAGUUUGUAAGUUUCCGCUGCCUUCUAAUUCCAACAAUUAGUUUCAGAACUGUUUUUACCUGUGAUGCUUUUUUUUGAGAGAUACGUAAAGUAUCGAGACAAAAAUGAUUCAAGAAAACUAGUAAAAUAAGCAACUCGAUCUGUUUUUGGUUUCAAAAUACGUUGACUAUCCAAUUUGUAAGUUUCUGCUGUCUUCUAAUUCCAACAAUUAGUUUCAGAGAUGUUUUUGCCUGUGAUGCUUGAUUUUUUUUCUUGAGAGAGGCAUGCUACCUAAUUCGCUUAUUUUAUUUAGAAAUAAACUUAAUUAGCUAGAAAUGUGAAUCAACUAAAAUUCAAACUUGAGAUCUCGAGUACUAACCAUCAAGUCAUUUGCCACUUGCGCUAGGGACGGCCGGUGUAAUGCCUGAUUUCAUAUGCAUGUUUGUAGAUUUUUUUUUUAUAGAUUGGUUUUAUAUUUUUUUUAUUCAUUUUCUAUGUGAAAUCGAUUAAAAAAAAAAAAAAAAAGAAAAGGAAAAACUAAGUUAGGCUGACAAGAUAUUACGUCAGAAAGACAUAUGUUGAGCACUUGAGUCUGAGAUAUGCCAGCAAAUAGAAAUUUACAUUUAUUGUGUUUCCUUCUUUCUACUUGGUGCCGUUUUUUUUAAGGAAAAACUUCAAAAAUCUCCCCUAUAGUUUCAUAUUUUUUUAUUUUAGUAUCCUAUAGUUUAAAGUGUAUCAAGUUAGUAUCCUGUGGUUUUGCACUUUCUCACUUUAGUACCCUAUGAUUUAAAGUGUAUCAAGUUAGUACUCUAUAGUUUUAUUUUUGUAUCAAGUUAGUACCCUGUGAUUUUUAAACCACAGGGUACUUUAAAACCACAGGAUACUAAAGUGAGAAAAUGCGAAACCACAGGAUACUAACUUGAUACACUUUAAACCACAGGGUACUAAAGUGAAAAAGUGCAAAACCAGAUAGUACUAACUUAAUAUAUUUUAAACCACAGGGUACUAAAUUGAAAAAAAGUGAAACCACAAAGGGGUAUUUGAAGUUUUCCCUUUCUUUUAUGUGUAUACAAGAAAAGGAAAGAGGGUCCGGCCCGGCCCGCUACGGUAGAGAGGGUCCACCCAGCGGACUGAGGGCGAACGGGCCCGCCCCAGGACGCUGCGAGCGAGCGGGCCCGGCCUGCUCCGCACCAGGCGAGCAGGCCAGGCCCGGCCUGCAGUGNAGUUUUUAAACCACAGGGUACUAAAGUGAGAAAAUGCGAAACCACAGGGUACUAAUACACUUUAAACCACAGGGUACUAAAGUGAAAAAGUGCAAAACCACAUAGUACCAACUUGAUAUAUUUUAAACCACAGGAUACUAAAUUGAGAAAAAGUGAAACCACAUGGGGGGUAUUUGAAGUUUUCCCUUUCUUUCAUGUGUAUACAAGAAAAGGAAAGAGGGUCCGGCCCGGCCCGCUACGGGAGAGAGGGUCCACCCAGCCGACUGAGGGCGAACGGGCCCGCCCCAGCACGCUGUGAGCGAGCGGGCCCGGCCUGCUCCGCACCCGGCGCGCAGGCCAGGCCCGGCCUGCAGUGGGAGAGCAGAUCGCCCCGGCCCGCCACGGGCGAGCAGAUCGGGCCCGGCCCGCUACGGGCCAGAAGCCAGGACCGCUUCUGGUGCGCGGGCCAAGCCAAACUUACUGCGGGCCAGCCGGCCCGACCCACAGCUGGCGAGCAAGUCGGGCCCGGCCUGCUGCUGGCGAGGGCCGGCCCGCCGCCCCGCAGCAGUCGUGGGUCCCGGACCAGCCCGCUGCGGGAUAGCGGGCCUUUUCCGCCCUUUAGUUCUCGCAAGCCUUCCCGUCCUGCCCACUACGGGCGAGUGGCCCCGGUCCAGCCCGCUGUGGGCCUGUCGGCCCGGCCCGGCCCGGCCCGCUUCGAGCGAGCGCCCAGCUGCGGGCUUGCUGGCCCAUCCUGCCCUUCAGCUCCCGCUACGAGCGACUAUGCCCGGUUCAGCCUGCUGCAUGCGAGCGGGCCGGGCCUGGCCCUUUAGCUGGCUGACGGGCCCAGCCCGACCCGGCUCCAGUGGGAGGGCGGGCCCGGCCGCGGCGGGCGUGCAGGCCCGGUCCGGGCCGGCCUUCUGCGGGCGAGCAAGUCGCGACCGGCCCAAUGCAGGCGAACGGGCGCGACCCGCCCAGCAGCUAUCGAGCGGACCCAGCCCGGCCUAGCCUGCUGCGGGUAUACAGGCCCGGCCCAGCCUGCUGCGGGUGUGCAGGCCCUGCCCAGCCCGCUACGGGUGUGCGUGGGAGUGGGCCCGGCCCGGUCGCAGAGGGCGAGCGGCCCGUCCCACCCUUUAGCAGCCGACAAUGAUUAGAGACAUAAUAGGAUAAAAUCUACGACUAAUCACCUUUCGUGCUCAUAUAGUGCCGCAUACAAAAAAAAAACCAAGUAAAAAGCCAAAACAUUUGCAUAAUUCAGUAUAGGUCCAGUAAAUAUACAAAGUUUUAAUUUCCUUGCAUACAUAUGCAGUUGCCUGAACUACAAAUUCAUCUGUAUACUUACUUCAUAUGUUAAAGCCUUUCAGCAAAACAGAAGUCGACAAGCGAGGAACACAUGAUGGAUAUAAUGAGCAUGAGAACUUGAAAUCAAACAUCCCGCUUGCAUAUAUAUGCAACACCAUUAGAAGCUAACGCUGCAUCUUGUAAGACCAACCAUGUUCAUCAAGGAAUGCUCGAACAGCUUCUUUAAUGGCAAGAUUCGGAACGAGCUGAUGUGGCUCCAGCGGCUCCCGUGUGAUGGGGUCAAACUUGCCAACCUAAGUAGGGCAAUUCCCACAAGUCGAAAGUAAAAACAAAUGCGUUAGCCAACACUAUAUUCAAGGGGGGUGAAUUGAACCAGAGUUCCCUAACCUUUUUGAGAGGUUUCAGUUCAAUCGUCUACCUUUCGAUCAUCAUAAUGGGUUUUAUUAUAUUCUUAGGCUAAAUUGGAUGGAAAUGGGUGCGUGAUCACCAAAUAAGAAGCCCAAAUGUUGCCUACAGGGCAAUUAGAUGAUGACUACGUAGAUAUUUCCAUCAAUUUAAUGAAAGAUUUACUCACAACGGAGAGAUCUAAUUUUGGCAUCUGAGAGGUUAAGACCCCACGGUGCAAUUUUACCCUAUUUAACUCUCAAUGAAUCACCUUCUGAAGAUGUUCAUGAAGCACGGCCCUCUCAUNAGCCCGCUGCGGGAUAGCAGGCCUUUUCCGCCCUUUAGCUCUCGCAAGCCUUCCCGGCCUGCCCACUACGGGCGAGUGGCCCCGGCCCAGCCCGCUGUGGGCCUGUCGGCCCGGCCCGGCCCGCUUCGGGCUUGCUGGCCCAUCCUGCCCUUCAGCUCCCGCUACGAGCGACUAAGCCCGGUUCAGCCCGCUGCAUGCAAGCGGGCCCGGCCUGGCCCUUUAGCUAGCUGACGGGCCCAGCCCGACCCAGCUACAGUGGGAGGGCGGGCCCUGCCGCGGCGGGCGUGCAGGCCAGGUCCGGGCCGGCCUUCUGCGGGCGAGCAAGUCGUGACCAGCCUGCUGCGGGCGACCGAGCCUGGCUCCCAGCCCGCCCCGCCCCGCCCCGCAGCGGCGAGCAGGUCAUGCCCGGCCCAAUGGAGGCGAACGGGCGCGACCCGCCCAGCAGCUAGCGAGCAGACCCAGCCCGGCCUAGCCUGCUGCUGGUAUACAGGCCCGGCCCAGCCUGCUGCGGGUGUGCAGGCCCUGCCCAGCCCGCUACAGGUGUGCGGCCCAGCCCCGCCCCCGCCCCCGCCGGCGUGGGAGUGGGCGCGGCCCGUCCCACCGUUUAGCAGCCGACAAUGAUUAGAGACAUAAUAGGAUAAAAUCUACGACUAAUCACCUUUCGUGAUCAUAUAGUGCCGUAUACACAAAAAAAACCAAGUAAAAAGCCAAAACAUUUGCAUAAUUCAGUAUAGGUCCAGUAAAUAUACAAAGUUUUAAUUUCCUUGCAUACAUAUGCAGUUGCCUGAACUACAAAUUCAUCUGUAUACUUACUUCAUAUGUUAAAGGCUUUCGGCAAAACAGAAGUCGACAAGCGAGGAACACAUGAUGGAUAUACUGAGCAUGAGAACUUGAAAUCAAACAUCCUCGCUUGCGUAUACAUGCGAGACCAUUAGAAGCUAUCACUGUAUCUUGGAAGACCAACCAUGUUCAUCAAGGAAUGCUCGAACAGCUUCUUUAAUGGCAAGAUUCGGCACGAGCUGAUGUGGCUCCAGCGGCUCCCGUGUGAUGGGAUCGAACUUGCCAACCUAAGUAGGGCAAUUCCCACAAGUUGAAAGUAAAAACAAAUGCGUUAGCCAACACUAUAUUCGAGGGGGGUGAAUUGCACCAGAGUUCCCUAACCUUUUUGAGAGGUUUCAGUUCAAUCGUCUACCUUUCGAUCAUCAUAAUGGGUUUUAUUAUAUUCUUAGGCUAAAUUGGAUGGAAUGGCUGCGUGAUCACCAACUAAGAAGCCCAAAUGUUGCCUGCAGGGCAAUUAGAUGAUGACUACGUAGAUAUUUCCAUCAAUUUAAUGAAAGAUUUCAUCACAACGGAGGGAUCUGAUUUUGGCAUCAGAAAGGUUAAGACCCCACGGUGCAAUUUUACCCUAUUUAACUCUCAAUGUGAUUACCUUCUGAAGAUGUUCAUGAAGCACGGCCCUCUCGUAUGUAACUCCGCUUGGGGUAAUCACCGGGUCCCGAAAGAUAUCAAGUGUUAUUUUGCAACAGAGGUGGUCGGGCACCUGCAUUUGAAAGGGGAAUAUGCAUUAAACCACAAGUAUAAAUCAGCAAUGAUGUUUCCAGCACUAAAUCAGGUUACGCAGAAGUUCAAGAUGCAUAUGGAUUCUAAACUUUUGCUGAAUAAAGAAAUGUAAACAUUGUCUAAUAUGGAAGUGUUCACAAGAAUUAUGCUUGAAACAGUGAUAUUAUGAUAAUUGCAAUAUAGUUGGAUUUUUAUUCACAUAAGGUCAUUCUACCUCUUUUUCUCUGAUUAUAGAAAACAAAAAAGUUUAUCCUCGUGAUCAUCGUAUUGGGGUUUCACCUGUCGCUCGAUAUUUAUGAAUAAAUCACUUCCUAGCAACCUCUAGGAUUUUGCAAUGUAAUAGCCCCUAUGUAUUCAAGGAAGCAUACUGUGAUAAAUUAAUAUAUACAUGACUAAAUCCAAACAGAAUUUAACACGCCUUGCAUGUCUACAGUUACCGGUUUUUUUUUCUCUCCUAAUAACUUGAAAGCAUAUAUCAACAACACAAUAUAGAGGCACUUAUCCAGAGUUCCUUUCAAAAGAUUAAACCUAAUCAAUCUAAUGUAUCCUUAGAUUCCUCCACGACCUCUCCUAGCUUCACGUUUUUCAACACCUUGAGCCUGUGAACUUAGUUGUUUUAUUUUUCUUUCUCAGAUCAUUCCUUUUUACACUCUCAAAAAGAAAUCCCCUGCCAUUACAAAAAUAUUUUCUGAUUAAAUUCAUUGGAUUACACAUCUACACAUUUAUUUGAGUUUGCUGAUCGCUAUCUUUCCUCACCUAACCCAUAAUAUUUGUCUCCAAUCAACACUUAAGAGUUACAGCGACUUUCAUACACCUUAAAUUUAUGAUAUUUAAAAGGGCAUUCACAAAAUUUAGAAGGGGCAUUCUCGACGCAAAGUGCUAUUUAUGUAACUAUCUCAAAAACAGAAAUUAAGAGCAUUAUUAUGAUCAGGUACUUAAACCAGAAAGCAAAACCUUAAUAAUGCAAAUUUCUAAUUUAUUGACCAUUUGUGAUAUCCAAUCAAUCUUUCAUGGCUAUAGUUCUAAAAAAGUGAAUGUAUUUGCAUUAUUACUAAGAAAUUGAAACUAUAUAUUCAUAGUACCUGUAUCGAUAGACUUUCCAAGCAUUGCACUCUACAUUUCAACUCUGCAGUACUCUGGCUUUGGUUUUGUACUUGUUGCUCCAAUCUCCCGACAUGCUCCUUUAUUUGGCGGAUGCUUUCUUCAACUACCGUACCCUCACAGGAACACGAACAUGAAGGCUUGAAGAUCUCUCUCGGAGAGGGACCUAAUCCUAUACCGCGUAUAUAUCCUUGUUUGUCCUUUCCUAUGAUUUCGGAGAAAGCAUCACCCUUCCAUGCAACCCGUCCUUGCAAUGUUGAUGCCUCUAAAUUCUCGGCCAUCUUUUUCUGCAAAUCAGACUACAAAAAGAAAGCCCAUAUUAGCACGUAAGGAAAAAUUCGGUAUUGCUUUUAGUUCAUAUUUUCUUCUAACACGCAUUGUGAAAUUAAAUGCAUACGGCUAAUCUCUCAUCCAAGUACGUUCCAUCCUUGUGCAUAUGAGUACUCAAGUAGACUUCAGCACGUUGCGGCUCUUUCUUCUCUGGAUGCUUUUGCCUCUAUAAAAAGCAAUGUUAUAAAGAUCAUACACUUCAAAAUAUAAAAAACGUAAGGAAACUCACAUUUACUUAAAUGCAUUGGUGCAUACCAUUUCCUCUGCAACGCGUGCAAAACUCUUUGUGCCAGCAGUGUGAGUCGUCUUCAGCAUUGCACGGUUUCUUUUGUUCCUUAAACUACGAGCCUAUGAUAGCAUAUAUAACUUCAGUUCUUACAUAAACUUAUAGAUUACAAUAACAUAAUCCCUACCUUUCCAGCAUCUGACUUCCAGAAGUUAACAAGAGAAAUCCAUUGAUCGUUAACCACAUCUUCUGGAGCUUUACUAUGUAACUCCUUCAAGCUGGCACGCUCAUCAAAGUACGUUCCUUUUAGAUCACACUUAUAGUCCUUCCACUUUUUCCCAGUUGACUUUAAAAUCCACUUUUCACACCGCACAGUGUAUAGGAACUUUGCCUGCAUUAAACAAAAGCGAUAGGAACAAAAUUUGCAUCAAAUUAUCUUGCAUCCCAAUUUUGCUAAGCUUUCUCAACUUGCUCAUAAUGAAGGAUUGUUUGACCAAUUAACAAGGAUUUUCUGUGCUUCUCAAUUAUAUGUAUAUAAAGCAGGCUUUUGAAAAAACCAAAAGAAUAUGUAGCUUACAUGAUUUGUUUUACAGCAAAUAGCAUCGUACUAAAUAUUUGAAGUUUAAAGCACCCAAGUAUAAUCACGAAAAAUAUUCACAAACUGGUCAUAUAUUUUUAACCUAAAUUGAUGGAUUCUUACUUAUGUACCACAAGUCACAAUGGAACACAAGAAAAGAGCAGAUAAUAUCAGGCAUCUCACAAACAAUCAUAUUUUUAUCUAUCAUCGACCUUUUGUUUUGAAGCACAAGGGUUCAAUAAUCCGAACAAUGAAAAACAAGCUGAUUAAUACCUUCACCGCAGUUAGUAUUUUUUCCUCGGCCUCCUUUUUAACAUAUCUCCAGUCGUUAUGACUUAAAGUGCAUAUCCUUCCAUCUCUAGCUACGGAUCCCAAAAACUGAGCCAACAACCGCCCUUCAUUCCUAACGGGUUGCCCUCGGGCAUUGCAAACUACGACAACUCGAUGCCCCGGUGGUAAACUCCACAAAUCAGCUAGUUUAGCCUUCACACAGGUUCUUUCACCGAUCUCAUCUGCACAGUACGACAAUAUGUUACAAAAGUAUUAUUCCAUAGCUCAGGAAAUAUUGUAAAACCCACAAUAAUUCACCAAUUUAUACAACUUAUACCUUCCAUGAUUACUUCGUCACCUUCUUCGUGAUCUACACUCGAGUAAGACUCCGAAUCACUAGUUUCUGCAGCAUGCGGGUCGAUAUAAGCAGGACUCGGGGAAGGGGGGGCAUAAUCAAAUUGCAUAUGGGACCGUGUUUGCGGGGUGGGUUGAGAUUGGGGCUCCCCCCGAUAUUCAUAUUGAUUUUGAAUUGUUUGGCAUCGUCUACGCCUUGCCAUGAAUGAUCAAACUAUAAUACUAUUACACUACACAGAGAGAGAAAAAAAAAAAGAAAAAGAAAAAAAAGCUCUUUUUAGCAAGAUAAACAAAGAUUUGGUGUAAAAAUAUUCUAGUUCAAUUGUUUACUGCUAAAUUGCAUUGAAUUAAGCUGGAUAAAACUGCAUAACUGCAGUUAUUUUCAGCAAUAUGAAAGAAUUAAAACGCAAAUACAAAAGAUAUAUACAGAGAUUCACAAAAUGAUCCGAUUGAAAGAGAAAUUAAAGUUUAGCAUCUUAAUUGAAAGAGAAAUUGAAGUUAAAAAUGGUUCUAGUAAUAAUCAAUGGUGCGUUUACACCGUAAUAAAGAUUUAAUAAAUCGCGCAAAUAAUUUCGCUGUUUUUCACUUACUCGAGAUUUGGACGGGGGAAAUUAGCGCUGGUAAAGGAUUAAAAAGGGUUUUUGCUCAUACCCAGAGAUAAAUCUACAGGAUCCAACUCCGAAUCUCGCUCGAUCCAGCAAAAGCACUUCGAACUACAGCGCAGACUAAGCGCUUUCCGGAGUGGAGAGAGAGAGAGGGGGGGAUGGGGCUCCGCAAGGGCGAAAUAGCAAAACAAGUGGGAUAAAAAUGUGCUGAGACCCCCCUCAACUAUACGCUAUUUUGAACUACGUCCUCAAUUUUGCAUUUGCACCCUUCUCUAAAAUUCUAUAUAGUUUGGUGGUAAACUUCAAAUCAAGUUAAAAUACCAUAUUGGUUACUACUUUUUAGACAAAUAUAGUGCAUAUUUCGACAAUAAUUAACUGUAAUAAAAUUGUUAAUUUAAGUAAAAUUUUAAAUUUAGGCUCUAUUCACACACGCACUAUAAGAAAAUAUAAUAAAAAUUAUUUUUUUUAUUUCCGUAAGUAAUUUCUCAUUACCAUAUCAUAUUAAAUCUGUCUACUAAGAUGUAAUUUUUAAAACAUUAUCUAAAAUCAAAAAAGUAUUUCUUUUAUAUGUUUCUACCCCAACAUUUCACCUAAUAGCAUUAUACGACCCUUCAUACCAAAGGGGCCCUUAAUCUAUCCAAACAAACUCAAAUAAAAACAAACAAAAAUAAAGGUGUCAGUUGAAAAUAAAUAAAUAAAUUCAAGAGCUUCAAUGGCCUAUAGUCACUAAAGUCUUCAAUUUUUAUUUAUUUUUUUGACCUUUAUUGAUUUAAAGUUUAAAAAUGCCAUUCUAAUAGAAAGGAAAGAUGCAAUGAAAGGGAGAAAAUGCCACUGUUGGUGGCAACUAUAACCGAGCCAAGGUCAAGAAGUAUCUGAAAUUUACCCAGCUAAUUCAGACCCAUCCAUCUAGGAUACAUAAAUUCCUGCAUAAGUUUUUUUUUUGAGAAAAUAAAUUCCUACAUAAGUUACCAUGAUUACAAUCUAGUUAAAAAAAAAAAAUCAAGGUUUAUUGACUAAUCAAGGUUUAUUUCAAACCCAUACUUAAUAAUCAAGGUUUAUUUGACUAAUCAGUCCAAGUACAGCAGCAAAUUAAAAAAAAAAAAAGGGACAACUACAGAGUAUCACUAGUAUGUACACAAAAUCCUACAAAAGACACUACACACAAGACCAAACAACAAUCCAUAUGUACACCACCACCAUUUGUUAAAACCAUUUGGCUGAAUACAAAUGGAGAGUUGAGUAUCCAAGGAUGAACUAAAAUGAUGUGGAAGUUAUAUUCCUUCGAUUCGAUGAUCAUGCUUCGCAUCAAAAAGUAAUCUCCUGGUUGAUGCAUAUGAACAUUGAAAGCUAAAGCUAUGGCCUCAUCUUGUAAGCCCAGCCAUGGUCAUCGAGGAAUGCUUGGACAGCUUCUUUAAUGGCAAGGUUUGGCACGAGUUGCUCUGGCUCGAGCGGCUCCCGCGUGACCGGGUCAAACUUGCCCACCUAUGCCGUCCAACAUGUUAGAAUUAAAUGUGAAGCACUAGCGCCCAUUGGCCUUAACUAGAGCUUUUGCAGAACUACAGUAGUGUUGUUAAGGUUGAACCGUUCAAAAGAACACUAACAGUUUAUUUUAACUGAAAAAAAAAAAAAAAAUCCCGCAACAGCUUUUCGCAAUAGCAGUGACAGAGGCAAAAGUUUCAGAUUAAAUCUUCUACUUCUGGAGCACAGAAGCUCAUAUCAGCUUUACAGCCCACUGCAAAAGCUCCAGAUUUUACUUGCCAAACAUGUAGACUGCUUGUCGUUGGAGUAGCUAGGCCAAGUAGGAACUUUGAUUCUAUUCAAGUUUACAUAAGUCACCUUUUGGAGAUGUUGAAGAAGCAUGGCCCUUUCGUACGUAACUCCAGAUGGUGUAAUUACGGGGUCCCGAAAGAUAUCUAGGGUUAUUUUACAGCACAGAUGGUCAGGUACCUACAAUUCAAUGUUUCUAACAACCAUAAGAAGACAAUAUGGGAAGAAACAAGUAGCAGAAAAGGCAGUAGAAAUCUCACUUCUGUUGGAACAUCAGCUACUGUGGCUUUUCUGAACACCUCCCUCAGCUGAAUCAACUGCUCCUCAUAUUCAUCUUCAGUUGAACCAUCAAGGUCACGAUAAAUCUUAAGAGCAUUUUCACAUGCUUCCCUGGAUUAGAGAGAAAUUUGCAUUAGAUUUAAGCACAGAUCAUAAAAUGAAUAAUUUCGGAUGUUGUUGGGCCUAUGUAUAUUACAUACUCCAAUUUCCGAAGUUGAGAUGCUAUCUCCUUUGAUGACCUCUCCCAUUCCGUGUACUUUGCCUUGGCGAGCGCCUGCCAUAUUUCCUCAACCAUGUAGCUCAUAGAGUGUGGGCCCCUCCCGAGUUCCAAAGACUAAGUUUUUGUACAACCCAAAUAUUAGCAAGGCAAGAAUAACAAAUAAUGCAAACCAUUAAUACAAAUAAUGCUGUUGAACAAUGGCCAUCUUAAUCCACAUGCCAUUACAAUCUUCCUCUAGAUUCCAUUUCUUUUUUUUUCGUUUUGUAACUACUCUUCCUUCCUUUUUUCUUGUAUUGCGCCAUCCAAUUCAAGGGUGACUAUCUAUUUCUCCAUUUUCUUGAUCAUAAAUUCAACAGCUGAACAGCACUAAAAUGUAUUCUAUAGAAAACACUAUCCAUGUGUGAUUUCGUAAUCUUUAAAAUCUUACAGGGCAAAGCCUGUUUGACAUCAUCAAAUGGACUCAUUGAAGAAAUCAGACUUUCAUACAUCCUGUUACCUGCAAACAAAUGAUGCUGAUUCCAGUCCCAGUAAUUGUGACACCCAACCACUAUAUCAUUAUUUUCCAUAAAUGUGCUCCUACAUCCAAAAUCAUAUAGUAUGUUUUCUCUCUUGCCCUUCUCUCACUCUUUCAGUUAGAUACAAGAAGCAUUAAUUUUAUAUGACAGCAUCACAUUAAGGCACUAUUGUUGGUAUCCCACCCUUCGUUGUUCUUGCAUCUGAAAGGUGAGGAUACAAUGUGCCAUUUAAAACUUCAAAUCUCCAUAAAUUUCCUUGACAAAAAAAGUUCUAUAUCGGGUAUCAAGAAACCAACAGUCUUCCUUUCUACACUAGCGGUUGAAAAUAGAAAUGCAUAGCUGUGCACCCCCUCAAUUCAUCGAAGAUCUUAUAUGCCCCUAAAAAGUUUGCAGUACAAUGGAUGCCCCAGUAUGUAUACAACUUUCAUACAACUUUCAUAAAUGCCCAUCCAGGAUGGCAUUUUUGAUGUUUAGUUAUUUAGAAGGGGCACCUAAGAAAUAAACUACGAGCUGGAGGAAUAUGAUAUUAAGGUAGUUGACAGAUACACAUUUAACAUUGAAGUAAAAUGCAUGGACAACACCUCAAUAAUAGGCCAUUUUAGAAAGGCCCUGAUUUCCUGAACAACUUUUUUUUAAUUGACACUUCCCUCAAUUUUUGCUUGCUUUGAUUUGAGUUCUCUCUGUCAAUUGAAUAGAGGAUUGUGCUAAUUUUAACAGUGACUUUACCAAAUUUUGUGGCUUUGCUUGCUUUUCAGCUGACAAAAUAGCAAAUCUCCUUAUCAGUUGAUAAUUGAUAGAAAGCAGAGCGGUAAGUUUUAAUGGAAUUCCCGAUUCAUAAUUAAAAUUAAAAUAGGAUAAUCAGAAUGAACAAAAGCUGAGGUGGUGUCAACUAGAAAAAUAAUUAAGUUUGGAGUCUAAAUAGCCUAUUGUUAAGCGGAUCUACACAUUUUUCCCUAUCUUACCCUAACACUAAGCACAUGCAACAAAAAGGUUUACUGUAUAAAAGUACUCCUCAGCGAAACUACCAAUUUCUUAAACACUUGGAUAUCCAACCAAUAAUUGAUGGUCAUAUUUCUUACAUGACUUUGGUAUAGCAAUUAGCAAUAGUUACUUCUCUGAGUUCUAAUUCAGUUCUCAAUGUAGAAAUCAAUCAAUCAAAAUAGUAAUUACUCUCUUUGCAGAUGCUUGUUCAGGGUAAGUGCUUCCUACAGUGAGAGGCGGGACACCAAUAUGAUCCUUAAUGUCUGCUAAUUAUCACACUAAACAUGAAGAAAAACCCUGGCAACAUACCUCUUUGUCCUUCUAGCAAAAACAAUUAGGAAGAAUUAAAGAGUUAAUCAGUUAAUCUCCAUUAUAUUGAAGAAUCGCAUGAUGAUCUAAUAAUUGCAACCACAGUUUACAAAACUUUCACAUAAUCUACAAAAAGCGGGAGGGGGAGGGGUAGACCUUCUCCAAUUCUUUGAUUCCCUCUGCAUAUUCUUCCCUGUCAAGAAGUGCAAGACCCAACAUAUAGUGUGCCUGCCAAUACAAUAUAUAAUUAUGUGCUGUUAAGGAGAUUUGCAUAUGCCAUCACAAUGCACAAACUAUGUGAUGCUAAGGAGAGAUAAGUAUCUUUUAAUUCAAUAGGGAAAACAUGUUGUAAGUUACAACUAAAUGUAAAUAUUUCAAGGUAAUAAUAAUAUGCUAUCUAGAAGGAAGAAAGAGAAAAAUAGAAGAAAACAACUACAUUAAAUAAGAGAGAUCACAUGCAUUCAUUCAUGUAAUGUUUGGUUGAAGCACAAAAUCUUGGGGGUAACUUUUUCAUUCUAGGGAAAACGGGAUGUUCCAGAGCAAACUGGACGAAGUGCAGAUUUGCAUUUGGAUGUAUUCAGUUCCUAGAGGAUAUCCCAAAUAGUGUUUGGGUAGAAAAGUUUGUAAGUACCUGAAUUUUUUUUAAAUACCAUCUUCAUGCUUUCAUAUCAUGGCAAAUUUUUGGCCAAGUAAUUAAGUAUAGGUUGGACUGUUAGAAUUUGGCCUAAAAUUGGGCAAAUACAAAAUUAGCAUCAAACUAGACAGGACACUAGCAAUGAUUCAGCACAGAUAAUCUGUAAAAUUGAAGGUGUAAGAUAGCAAAAAGAACUGAACGAACGGCAAGAUAUAAUUCAGCACACAAAUAACAUAUCUCAUCAAAUUAACUAAAAAUUAGGGGCAUAAAAAAUAAAAUAUACUGUGCAUACAGAAAAAUAUAAAAAGAAAAUCACUGCAAAUCAAUCAGAGAUGAUUAGCAAGUGUUAACGAGCAAUUCCUCACAGAAAACAAGAAGAAUAACAAGAUAAUUGACAAGCAAAUCCAAAAAUAUAAUUACGAACAGCAAAACAUACAAACUAUACUAAGAAAAAAUUCUAGAAUUAGGACAUCAAAGCUUAAAGGAAAGAACUAUUUACAUUCGUGCCUCUCAAAAGUUUAAGAAUAUCAUGGGUUCUUGUCAGACCAGGAGGGGGUGGUGCCCUCUAACUGUUAGGAGUUAAACGGAUACCACGCAUGCCCCACUAAUUAUUAACAAUUUAUCAUUAAUUCUCUCAUUGUCAAGGGACGUUAGCAAAAACUAUUUUACACACACCAGUUUAAUGUAAGUUAAAUUAUUAGUUGACAUUUUUAUCCACUUUCACUUCCUCUUUCUUCUCCAAUUCUUCCUCUUCUUCAGAGAAAAAGAGAGGGCAGUGGGUGAUGGCUGCCGCCACCACUGCCCGCAGCAGAGGAGGGAGGCGGCAGGCGUGGAGCAGCCAUACUAGAGUAGAAGGAAGGCGGUGGAGGCGACAGCAACAGAGAAGGAAGUGGGGAUAGCUAUAGUUGUAGAUGCAAUGGAGGAGGCGAGGGCAGCAGCAACAGUGACAAUAGCCGUUGUGGAGGAGAGAGCAUAGAAGGAGAAAGUAGGUAAGAGCUGUGAGAGAGCGAGAGAGAGAGAGCAAUGGAUGGAGAGGAAAAAAGAGAAUGGAUAGAAAGUUUAAGGGCAAAAUUUACAUUUUGCAAAAAUAUAAGCAUACUAUGAGGGAAAAAUGUCAUAUUAAUGAUAACUUCGAAAUGCAUUUUCGAUAUUUAUAACGUUAAAAGGGUAAUUGUGUACUUAUGAGUGUUUCUGAGGAGCACUUAAUUAACUUCCCCUAGAAAAAACAUCUGGUCGAGAUUGGAGGAUUUCACAUCAAUGUUGCGGUCAAAUUGCAAUAUUAUGGUAUCCAAAAUUCAAUAAAACUCAGACUUGGAAAUCGCAUGUCUCCUCCAUCAAUACAAAAGGACCGUUAAAUCGGCAUCUGGUAGGAUGAAACGGCACAUGGUCUUUCCCGCAAGAGCAUCUCAACCUCUCGAAAGAAGUUAUUCAAUAGACCACAUCUAUAGAUUGAGAGUCUUCACUCUUCAACAAUUCAAACCUAAAGUUCUUAAGAAUUAAAUAUAGAAUGUUGUAUACGAUCUACAAUCCUUACACUUUGUAUGUAUAAUAAAAAGUAAAUAUUUGAUAUCUACUAACAAGCUUUUGAAAUCAUGAUCUGCAGAUUAUUUAAAAAUCACACGUUACUUAAUGGGUUGCAAUGAUGUCUCCCACUACAAUACAGCUUACAACUCUUACACUCGAGAUCUAACUUUCAAAAAGCAAUUUUUUCAUCCUACUAAUCAAAAGUCGAUGAGCAUUAGAAAUAAACUAAGCGAAAGCUCAUAUGGCAAACUUAAUGCAUAAAGCAUGGAAGAAAGGAUGGAAACUAACGGAAGUAGCAAUAUUACCUUAACCGAAUGACUGUCGAGCUGAAGAGCCUUUCUGCAGUCAUCCUCAACUUUUCUCCAUUCACUACCAUUCGAUAAGAAAACAGUCCAAUAUUCACAAAGAGCAGAUUAAACAUUUCAAAAAGAAAGAAGAAAAAUGAAAUAAUUAGCAUACUAACUUCCGCUUUUUAUAGCAUAGUGCUCGAUUAGUCCAAUAUACCGCCACAUUUGGGCACAAUGUGAUUGCCUAUAGAACCCAAAUCACAAAGAAAAUUAGCACUGAGAAAUGCAUGGGGGCAAGACCUAAAGGAUAUUUGAAGUUGAAAUUUUUUUGCCCAAAUGGAUCAACGUAUAAAAAAGUAUCUCAAUACAUCAAAGAAGAUACUUUGGGAAUGAAAAACUGAUAAAUUAAUCGACCCCAUAGAACAACAAUCGGAGUCUAUGAGAACAAAGGGGGUAAAUUGGAUACGCUAAUCUACUAAACUGGGCAAGAAAACAAUUAGCGCAAGAGCCCAUAUCUAUAUUCACAGAAUUUGUUACUGAGUAAUCACAGCAACUUCACAAAUUACAGGAAACAGAAGCUGAUUUCAUGCCUCAUAAUAACUCCCUUCCUACAAGAGAACUAAAGGGACCUAAAUAUAAGGGUUAACAAACUCAAUUAAGACAGAAAACCUAUUAAUGAAAGAACCCAGAUCACGAUUUCAUGGCAAUCGAAAUGGGCGAUCACAAACUAACAGAACAUCCAAAGAAUUGAUUCCCCUCCAAAAAUAUUACUCGGGAAUCAAAAAGAAAUGAAUUGUAUGUCAUGCAUCAACUUUUAAAUCCAUUGGUGGAAUCAUUAAGUUGAUGAAACGGGUAUUUAUCUCUCUUCCUAUACAACCAAGAGUAGAAAAAGGGGGAAAAAAAACAAAUUAAUACGCUUUCCUAUCUUUUUCCCAACAACUGGAAUCGAAUUCAGAUGGAUUCUAAUUUCACCUAAUCUAACGAAAUUCUCCUAACCCUAACUCCAUCAGAUCGAUCACAAAUACCCCUAGUAUCAAUUACACGCCACGCAACAGCUACCCCGCAAUAAUAAGCUAGAAUAAUCAAACGGGUGCAAGAAUCGGUACAAGACCCCGGUGUAGGCGUCAAUGGCGGCUCCGAUCCGCUCCUUCUUGUAGAACGUGUUCCCGUCCUGCUUCAGCAGCUCCGCCUGCUUCGCCGCGCUCGCCUGCGCCGGCGCCAUCGUCGUCGUCGUCCUCUUCCUCCUCCUCCUCCUCCUCUCUCUCGAUUCGUCUCUCUCUCUCUCUCUCCCUUUCUCUCUCUAGGGUUUGGGGGAGGAGAUGAUGAAGAAGAAGAAGAGGAGGUCGAAGCUUCGUUCGCUCUUUUGUUUCGUCGGGGUGUUGGUUUUUUCUCUACUUUUUCUUGUCUUGUCGCUGGGGUCGCGAAUGGAAAUGGAGUUGCAUGGAAGGUUCACCCGAGACCGAGACGUAGGGCUGGCAAAUGAGCGAGCCUGCUCGCGUUCGACUCGAUAUUUGGCUCGCUCGAACUCGACUCAAAAUUAAAUGAGCCGAACAAAAAAAAAAGGCUCAAAAUUAGGGCUGGCAAAUGAGCGAGCCGGCUCGCANCGUUCGACUCGCGUUCGACUCGAUAUUUGGCUCGCUCGAGCUCGACUCGAAAUUAAAUGAGCCGAGCUUGAACAAAAAAAAAGGCUCGAAAUUCAUUUCAAGCCGAGUUUGAGUUUUACUCGGCUCGUUCGAAUUAGGCUCGAAAAGCUCGAAUAUAUAUAUAUAUAUAUAGAAAAGCUACUAUGCUAUCGAAAGUAUAGAGAUCUGGUGCCUUCGAUUUUUUGAUCCUUACAUCAAUCCCUUUAAUCGUUUGUUAUAUUUGGAUUAAUAUUAUUAUUACCUUGUAGGGACCACUCAAUCCUAAGAAUAUUAUUUAAUCCUAGGGGAGGCCGCAAUUAUCCCAACCAUAUAAUUUUUAAUCAAAGAGUCAAAAAUUCAAAAACAUCAAAUCCUUUAUAUUUUCGAUAGCAUAGUAGUUCUACCUUAUAUAGUAAUUAUAUAUUAUAUAUAUAUAUAUAUAUAUAUAUAUAUAUAUAUAUACUAUAUAUAAUAUAUUUUAAUUAAUUAUAUAGGCUGCAGGUGAAUAAUCUGAGUUUAGUUAAAUUGGACAUAUUAUUUAGUCCCAUAAAAACAAUACCGCCUAAUAGAUAAUAGAAGAGGCAAAAAUUUACUAAAUUCUGAUAUAUUUUUCCUUUUUUUCGUUUUUUUUUCUUCACAGCAGCUGCUUAAUUUUUCAAAUAUGUUUCCCUCUUUCUCUUUUUCUAUCUCUCCCUAAGUGGCCAAACGGUAACCUCGUAGAUUACCAAGGUAACAUCAUAUGCCGCGAUUGCCUUACCUGUGCUACUUAGUUGUAUUACUUGCAGAAAAUAUACAUAUAUUUUUAUAAAAGUAAAAAAUUAAUGUAUUGCAUAUAAAUUUUAAUUUUUUAGUUAUAUUAUGAUUGGAUAGUUCUAAUCCAAAUAUUUAUUUAUAUAAUUAUUUAUUUUUUGACUGCAUAUAAAGCAUGAAAUAGAUGAAUAUAUACGAGAUUGAAGGCUCGGAAACGUAAAAGAGAUAUGUCAGGGCUGAUAAAAAAUUAGAUAUUCACAUCUCAUAAAUCUUAUUUAUUUUUUAUAUUAUGAAUACUUUUUAUUAAUGUAUUUUCUACUUUGAAAACGUAUGUAGACAUAUUUUUUAUCAAAUUAUAAGAUAAAUGAUUUUGUAUACAAAUUAAAACUAGUGAUUGUAUAAUGUGAGGAUAUUUUAAGCGGCAUCGUUUUAUUUUUGGGUUCGGAGCGUCGCCUUCUCUGAAAUUAUGCGUCUGUGACGCUCGACUCGAAUUAAUUUCAUCCAAGCUGAGGCUUUAAUUAAUUGCUCUGAAGAUUAUCAGUUUCAAAGCACGAUUGUGUGGCAGCCGUGAGAUAAGCUUGCUCGAGCUCGCGAGGCUCAUUUUCCACCCCUACUCAAAAAUUCAUUUUAAAGUCGAGCUGUGAGUAUUCAUUCGGCCUCAUUGCGAUUAGACUCGGAAAAAGCUGAAUAUAUUACUAUAUAUAUACUAUUGAUAUACAAUGGCUAUUACUGUAUAUAUAGUUAUAUUAUAAGCCUCUUUUAGCCUAUCGAAGGCAUCACGCAGAUCGUGGUGCGUUUUUUCAAUCUAGUUCUACUAGAUCAAUCCCGUUUAAUCGUUUCUUAUUUUGAUUAAUUAUCAUUAGUACCUGUGUUUAUUGGCGAGCCAAUAAUCUCUGACACGAGUAUUAUUUAAUCCUAAGGGAAACCGCAGAUCAUAUCCCAAACCAUCAAUUUUUAAUCAAGGUCGAGCGUCAAAAACAUCAACUCACGUCUAUAUUUUCCCGAUAGCAUCAGGUUGUAGUUUCUUACAUAUAUAUAUAUAUAUAUAUGUACUAUAUAGUAUAUUAUAAUAAUAUAUAUAUUAAAAAAUAUAUAAAUAUAAUAUAUUUUUACAUUAUAAUAAGGCUGGUAAUAAUUCUGAGUUUAGUUAAAAUGUCUCAAUAUUGUGGUGGCGCCAUAAAAAAAGCAAUCCCAAUAAACAAAUAUUAGCAGGAGAGCGCAGAAAUUUUAACUGAGAAUUUAUGGUAUUUUAUUCUUUCUUUCUUUCUUUCUUUCACAGAGCUCUAAAUUUUCAAUAUGUUUCUCUCUUUCUCUAUUUCUGUCUCUCACCCUAAGUGGCCAAGCCGAAAGCCCUCUAAGUUAUCAAGUAACAUCGGGCAUAAAGCCCGCCGUUGCCUACCUUACUAUUAAUUGUAUGCUUGAAAAAAUAUACAGAAUAUUUUUAAAGUAAAAAAGUUUUAUUUAUAUAAAAUUUUAAUUUUAGUUAUAUAUGAUUGGAUAGUUUAAUCCAAUAUUUAUCUAUAUAAUUUAUUUAUUUUUGACUGCAUAAAUGANCGUGCCUAACCCUUUUUUGUUAGGCUAAUAUUAGGUCCAUGAUCCUUAUAUUUUAGUUCAAUUAGCUAUCAACCAUUUAGUUUCAUAUUAACUUUUGGGGAAAACUUCAAAUACCACCGAUGUGGUUUCGUGCUUUCUCACUUUAGUACCAUGUAAUUUAAAAUUUAUCAUUUUAGUAUUAUGUGAUUUCAUUUUUCUUUUUUCAUUAUCCCUCAAGUUAUUUUUUCGUUAUAUUAGUAAUAAAGCUAAAACCAUAGGAUACUAAAGUAAAACAUUCGUUAAACUAGUCUACAUAGUACUAAAAUAAAUAUUCAAUAAAUUAUAGAUAGGCUAUCUGAAGUUUUUUAUAUGUGAUUUAACGAAGAACUAACGGAUAAGCUGAAAAGAAAAAAAUAAAGGGUUAAUUACACUAACGGUCCCUAACCUUUACACUAUUUUUCAAUUUGAUCCAUAAUCUUUUUUUUUACAAUCAAGACCCUAAUCUCUUGAUUUCAUUUCAAUUAAGUUCCAACCGUUAGAUAGCUGUUAUAAUUGCUGAAAAAUGUCACAUCAGCACCAUGUCAGCGCCACGGUGGCGCUGUAUCAGCGGAUUGUAAGAAAAAAAAACGAUUGGGGACCAAAUUGAAAAACAGUAUAAAAGUUGGGAACCAAUGGUGUAAUUAACCCAUUAAAUUUAUAAAUUCAAAAAAAGAUUUUUAAUUUAAGAUUUAAAUUUUAAAUUUAAAUUUUGAUUUUGGAUUCAAAUUUAAAUUGGAAUUGAAAUUCCGAUUUUGUAUUUAAUUUUAAAUUUUUGAUUUUAAAUUCAAAUUCACAUUUGGAAUUCUAAAUUAUAAUUUAAUUUCAAACUUCAAUUUGAAAUUUCAAAUUCAAAAUGUGAAUUUGAAUUCAAAGUUUAAAUUCAAAUUUAGAAUUGAAAUCAAAUCUUAAAUUCAAAUUUAAAUUUUGAAUUCAAAUUUAAAAUCAAAAUUUUGAAUACGAUUUUAAAUUUAAAUUCAAAUUUUAAAUUUAAAUUUUGGUUUCAAAACUUUCAUUUUAAAUGUAAAUUGAAAUAUCAAAAUCAUUAAAUUUAAAUUUUGAAUUUCAAUUCAAAAUUUUAAUCAAAAUUCUAAUUUGUCGUUAGUUUAAAAUUUUAUUUUUAAUAUUAUUUUUGAAUUUAAAUUUAAAAUUUUGAAUUUUAUUUUUAGGGACUAAAAUAAAAAAUGUGCAAAGUUUAGGGACCUAAAAUGACAUACAAAAGAAUGCCAAAUAGACGUUGACGCGGCGAUUCCGUUAAUUUUAACCCUUUUUUUAACGGUUUGGGACGUAAUUGUAAUAAAAUCAAGAAAUGAAGGACUCAAUUGCAAAAAAAAAGGUUGGGGACUCAAGUAAAAAUUGGUGCGAAGGUUGGGUAUCCUCAUAUUAAUGAAUUGGAAUAAUCAUAAUAUGUCUAAUCUCUUUCUUUCUCUCUACCCGCCGACUAGUUGGUAUUAUUAUUUUUUACACUAUAGCCUCAAAUCCCUCUUUAAACUUAGAUUUUUCCCUCUAACUCUCUAAACUAAGCUCACUCUUCCUCUUUUUUUCUAAAAUCUCAACUAUCUCACUCCCUCUAAACUCGACUCUAUUUCUCUUUCUAUUUCUUUAAGUAUGCUCUCUCUUUUUCUAACCUAUAUUCCUUUUUUUCUAAAAGGAUGUUGAAAUUUUUGGUACCAUUAUCUAAAAUUAAUUAAAGAAAUAAAUAAAUUGAUUAUAUAUUUUUUGUAAUCUUAAAUAGUAUAAUUAAAUAAUAUAAUCGUACGAACAUUCUUAGUAAUAGGAUGAUAGAAAUAAAAUUCUCGGACAUAUUUUUAUUUCUAGUAAUUUUUUAUAGUGCGAACUAGACGCACUCUAACUUUUAUAAGUUAGACCACAGCUCCGAUAAAACUAUACUUAUUCAUGCAGUAUCAACUUUUUUUUAGUUUUCAAAAAAGUAUAGUAAUAUUUUCAAUUUGAUAUUAAGAACGACGAAUGCUGCUAAAAAAAAAAAAAAAAGAAGAAAAAAGAGUAUCAUUUAUAUGGUCGAGAUGAUCAUACAUGUGUACGGAGACAUGUUAUAGGAUUAAGCUUAAUGCGAUAGACGCGCGUACAGAAGAAGAGGUUGGGGAUUGAAGUGAACAAAUUGGUCAAACGCUCUUUCCAAAUGCACACGACUCUACCAUGUGAUACAAUUUUAGUUUUUGUUGAUAAUAAAUAUUCUAGUGUAACAGUAUGAAACGUCAUUUAAUUAAGAGCAGUUAAUCAGCAAUUAUUUAUUUUGGUUUCAAAUCUAUGAUUAAUUAUAAAUUUCUAUAUAUGUAUCUUUAUAAAUUAUAAGAAAUUCUAAUUAAAAGCCUAUGAGCCAAAAGCUCCUAAUCAUUCCUAUUAACUAUUUAAAAUUAGGAUUAAUUAUAUACAUGUCCCUGCAAAUAUAAUGAAUUGUAAAUAUAUAUAUAUAUAUAUAUUCCUAUAAAGUUCAACUUUCAUAUUUUAUCCCUACCCUAAUAUUUUUAAAUAUAUUCAUGCUAUUAGGACUCGUUAGAAAAAAUUAGUUAAUCAUAGAUAAAAUACUUAACCCUAAUUAGUUAAUGAGAUGAAUUGAUCUUUUUACCCUUCUUCAAUUAACUGUUGAAACUUUUAAAGGGACAUAUUUGUGAUAGCAAAAAGGUCAUUUCACUUAUAAAAUAAACAGUGUUUUAACGAUAAUAAACUAGAUGGACAUAUUUGAAAACAUUAGGACUUUUGCAAAAGUUGAACUUUAUAGAAAUAUAUUUGUAAUUCAGUGGUUCGUUUUUUUUUCACCAUGGAAUCGGAAUCGGAAUGGGUGAAUCCGUUUGUAGGUGUUUGGUACGCGGGAGUCCCAUUCCGAUUCCGAUUCCCGAGUGGGAUAGGAAUCCCCCAAUCACCUCUUUUUUCAAUCCGGACUAGGAGGUCAGAUUGGAAGUUGAAUCCAGACGGAAUGGUUAUUUAUUUGGAUUAAAUUUAUUUUUUCAACUUUUUUAAAUUAAAAUAUGAGUUAAAAUUAAAAAUUAAAAUAUAUAAUUUUAAAUUUUAAUUUGAACUUAAAUUAAAAAUUAAAAUUUAAUCAAUUUUAAUUUAUAAUUUUUAAAUGUAGUUUUAAAACUUUAUUACAGUUUUAAAAUUUAGAUAAAAAAUUUUUUUAUUAAUUUGAAACUUCAACUCACUUAUUAAGUUUUAUACUUUGAUUUAAAACUAAAUAAGUUUAAGUUUGAAUUUUAAUGUUAAAUUUAAAAAUAAACUUAGAUAUUUAAAUUAAAUUCAAACUUUAUUUUAAACUUAUUUUGAAAUAUAUUUAAUUUUAAAUUAAAUUUAAGUUUAAGUAUUCAAUCUAAGCUUUAUGNUUGAAUAAAUCAAAAUUUAGUUUCAUAUUUUGAAUUAUUCACUCAACUUCAAAGUUUAAUUAUUUUUUUAAAAAAUAGAUUUAAAAUUUUGACAUUAUUUCAAAAUUUUGAUGUAAAUUUUUAAUAUUUAAUUUUUAAUUUGAAUUUAAAUUAAUAUAUUAUAAAGAUAAUGUUAGUAUAUUAAUUUGAUUACGUUUUUUAUAUCCACCUGAACCAAACACCGACAAUGAGAAUGAUUUAUUCCGAUUCCGAUUCAGGUGAUGAAUCAAACAGAAUUAGAUAAUGAGUCAUUCCGAUUCCGAUUCCAGCUUAUUUUGAUUCCGAUUCCGAUUCCGACUUCGACUUAGAACCAAACAUGCCCUAUAUGUUUUCAGGGACGCCGUAUGAAAUUAACUCUUAAAAAUUAAGAUCCAUUUAAAAGGCAAGUAUCAGUUAAUUACUUGUAAGGGUUUUCAAAAAUGUAAACCUGUUUAAGAGGAAAGUAGAUUUUCCUCCAACAUUCUCAAACUAUUUAUUUAGUCUAAAGUGCUCUAAAUAAAAAGUUAAAAAAUUAAAAUUAAUAAAAAGCCACCUAACAUUAACAAAUGAUUAAAGAAACUCCCUGAUCAAAAUAUUAAAUUAUGUAAAAAUUUAUUUAUCAAAAAAAAUUAAAUAAUAACAAAUUUGGGCCAAAGCUCAUUUUAAUUUCAAUUUCAAUUAUCUUCUUGUAUUAAAAACUGCAUCAAUUAUCUUUGUAUAUUUUGCCAUUAGCAAAAAUAGAUUCAGCUAUUUGGGGUGGUUGUUAAAUUCUGUUAUAAAACUUUAUAGUAAAGUUUUACAAUAUAAUUUGCUAAAUUUUGAAAAAUUUAAAUUUAUUUGACAUGAUGACAAAGCGAAUAAUGCUGAAAUUUUAUUAGAAACUAAGAUCGUACCUUCUGCCAUGAUUUUAAUUUUUGUACUUGAUUUGUAGGCGGCGAUUUUUACUCGUGGUUCGUCCUCGUUUGCGAUUUACAAAAUAGCGGGACGUUUCGAAUUUAAUUUUCUUAUUCUCGAAAAUUGAGUCGUCACAAGAAAUUAGAUUAAGCUUAGACCGGGACUCCCGUAUGUUAUAUUUAUAUACAACUUAAUGUAAGGAUGUUAAAUCAUGUCCAUCCAUCAAGGACGUGUCCAGAUACACCCUAACCGUUCGAUCUACCGUAUCUUUAUAGAUCAACUUGAAUAAAUCGACUGUAUCUUUAUAGAUCAUCUGAAUAAAUCACAUGAACCACAUCCAAUAAAUAAUACUUAGGAAUUUUUGAUGCAAACGAUAAUGAAACAUAAAACUAAAAUGCAACUCUCGAAAGAGCCACUCAUUCAAAAUCCCACUAUUUUUCCAUUUAGGGCUUGUUUGGUUCAAGGGUGGAAUUGGAAUGGAUAAUGGAAUGAGAAUGAAUUGGAAUGGUAAUUGGAAUGGUCCACUCCUCCAAGACGUUUGGUUUAUUUGUAGAUUGGGAAUUGGAAUGAGCUAUUCACAUUUCAUUGUUUGGUUCGUUUAAACUAAAAAAAUUAUAGGAUACUAUAAUACUAAUUUUACUCUAAAUAUAAAUUUAUAUUAUUUAAAAUUUAUGAAAAAUACUAUUCUCUAAUAAGUUUUUCAAAAAAAAUAUCAAAUUUAUUUUUAAAAACUUUUAUUCGUGUGGGUUAGGGAUAGGGUUUUGAGAGAGGAUAUGUUUUUUUUUUGUGAUGAGAAAGGGGUGAAGAGAAGGAGGGUGAGAUGGUCACAUGGGCUUCGAGGACUUAGUGGGCUUCCAGAAUGAAAUAUCAAUCCGGGCUAGAAGACCGGAAUCAAGUUGAAGGCUAAUGGGCCAUUCUCAUUCCAGUCUGGAAUAGGAAUCUCAAACCGAUUCAUGCGAACCAAACAAAAUUAACCGGAUUUAAUCAAACCGAUUCCCAUUCCAUACCCAAAAUGAAUGAACCAAACAAGUCCUUAGUCUCAUGGACGGUUUUUUAAUA